rnacentral:lncRNA from 1 species
UUCAGGUGAAUCUGAAUUAAUUCCACCUUUCCCCUUACUGAUUUCGCUGUUGCCCAACUGAUAAUUUGUUGUUUUUAGGGAAGAAACGGGCGAGCUUUUCUGUUCUCGCACGCAAUGAACGUAUCGGUGGGGGCGAAAGAGGAUCGGAAUCUGAUGACGGGACUCCACACUGUUGCAGACAUCUACUGCGGGGAUUGCAAGGAGGUUUUGGGUUGGAAGUACGAGAGGGCUUACGAGGCUUCCCAGAAGUAUAAAGAAGGCAAGUUCAUUCUUGAGAAGUGCAAAAUUGUCAAGGAGAACUGGUAGAUUUGAUUAAUUUAAACCCUGUUGUGUAUAGAUUACAGUACUUCUAUCUGUGUGGUGUUCUUCUGUUUGUUCAUUCUUCACUUUUGUCCAGUUUGAUUGCUUGUUUUGAAUUUGGGUCUCCCCUCAAUUUGUAAAUACAAUUCGAUUUCAGCCCCUCAAAUUUCUGCAGACAUUCCUGAAAAUGUUGGUGUAUGUAUUGUCUACUGAAGAACACGGUCAAUAUCUUCAUUCUAUCUUCCACUAGUUCAGAAAAUUUGUAAUUUGAGCCACUCUGUGUUCUUCGAGUGUUCAGCUGAAGUACGUAUGUUACACCUUUAGCCAGUUCUACCCAUGAACACAAAGUUCGAUUCUGUAAGUACCGAGACUGUAAAUUUAUACUCUUUCUAGAUUUGGAGAUGCAGUUAUUAGCAGAUGAACUUAGUUGCAGUUACUUUUCCAUCAGAUUGUCUCCUCUCAUAACAUUCGGUUGAUCACUUCCAUGAGACAAUGAACAAUUGCCGUCAUCAUCUUGCUUCAAUUCCUAGAUUUCCAGUAUGACGUUUUGGAGGGAUUCUGAAAUCUAACAAAAAACUGACUUUCAGCUUCUGAGUAUGUCUUUUUUGUUGAUCUGUUAUGGUCUUUCGUCCAUUCUGUAAGCCUCAUGGAAGAGCUUGAUGGUGGAUUCUUAACCGUGUUGCUGCCAUUUCUGAACUUCCACUGUCGCUGAGCAAAUUUACAUUCUUUGUCCCAAUGGAGAAAUGGUAGAUUGGAACUAUGGGUUAAUCCGAAUGGGUAAAUAGCCACAACUAAUACGUAUUCGGAACUGGUUCGAAAUUAUCUGAAACUCUAAUUUCCACCCAACACAAUAGAGAAUAUAGCUUAUAAAAAAAAAGAGAACGUAGGUUAACGUCGUUUUAUUCAUCCGUCGAAAAAAAAGUGUUCUAUUUAUUUAGAUAUCGCGAGUAUAGUAAACUAAAGUUUUGAAUCAUCUCGAAGAUGAGUCGCCGCAAGAGUCGCGCCAUUACAUCUCUUCACGCAAACGUUGAAGCAAGCUAGGCCGCCGCCGGGGCAACUACUCAUACAAGCUUUGAAACACUUCUGGUAGGGUGUAUCAUCCGCCAUCCCGGUUCGAAACUCGCCGACCACCAUCACCACCAAGAUCAAUGCCAUCAUCACUGUCGCAGUUUUGGCUGAACUCUUCCCGUUGAAACACCUCCCUCCUGCCAUAUUUUUUAAACAGAUUCCAAUUUCUUUUACUGCGUAUUGUCUUUGUUACUGUCGUUCAUCUCAUCUGAAUCGCUCUAUUUAUAGUGAAAAGUUUGAGUGGUGGUACAAUGUACACAUUAAUUAUCGUUCGAUUUGCAAAAUCUAGCAAGUUUUGGUAGCUUCUCAAACUAGGUAAUUUAUUUUAUUAUAGUAAUGUCACAAUAGGUAGUAGAUAAUAUCAAACUAAUAUUGAAAAAAAUAAUAUUGAUUUGAGACUAAAUUUCUUCUAAUUUAAGUGUCCAAGAAAAUGAUUUAAAAUUUAAAUUAUUUUUCCAAAUCACCUCUCCAAAAUUCUCUUCCAUCUUCUACAAAAUAAGAAUUCCUAAAGUGAAAAUGUAUACAUAUUUCUUCCCUCAACUAAUUAAUAUAAUCAACAAUCUUUCUUACCUGAAUAUUAUUUUGCUUAUUAGUUAAAUUGAAAAUUAUUAAAAUACUAUAAUAAUAGACAGAGAUGAUAUGAUUUUUCGAGAUUCUUUGAACAUUAACUUGAGGCUUUUGAUUCAAUUCAUUGAACAUUCAUGUUUAAUAUAUUGUUUGCUUUGAGAUUUUUCUACUGUUUGUAUUUUUUUUUUCGAAAUUCUCUGCUGUUUGUCUUGAUCUUUGUUAAUAUAUUCAGAAUUUACACGGUCACAUCAACAACUUUAACAAUUAAUAAUUUUCAAAAAAGUUCUUAAGAAAAUGUUCUAUUAUGCUCAUGUAACAUAACAUUGUUAGCAUAAAUGCUUUACUUACGUCACACUCACAUCUUCCACACGCCCCUGUUGAAAUUUUUCGUUGGGAGCUGAGGUGCGUCUGCCUUGUGAGUAGGACAGGAACUAAUCACGUACCCUGCUAACGCAAAUUGCCGGCGAAUUAGGGGGGAUUCCGUUUUAUUCCGCAUUUAUCUCGUACCCCGCUAACGCACAAUGUCUUCCACCCGAUUAUCGGGACAAGUGGUUGAUCAAAGAUCAACCUCCACACAAACACGGGCAUAUUUACUCCUAGCUACGAGCACCUCUUGUUGAUCAAACCGAAACGGGUUAUCGGUGCAUGAAGCGACUUGAAAAUGCCUCACCGGCGUAGACAGUGCGCGGCGCCGGAACUUUGGCGUAACAACUCUUAAUGCAAAUGUUGAUGCAACUCAGGCCGCGGCCUGGACAAGUGCUCAUACAACCUUGAAAACACUUGUGGUAAGGAUCCUCGGCCAUCCCGAUUUGAAAGUCGCCGACGACCAUCACCACCAGGAUUAAUGCCACCAUCACUGUCAUGGUUUUAGCUACUCAUUGUAAUAUCUUUCCUUGAAUUUAAGCCUAAUUUUAUAUAUUUUUCCGUUUAAUUUUAAUAAAAUGAAACUAAUCUGUUCAAAAAAAAUCUAGCUUUUCAAAACUGGAUAUCGGAAGAAAAUGGUCAGAGUACUGAUGACUUUUUUUGUGGGUACUAAUGAGUCGAUGUGACAGAUUUUUGUAAUUUAAAUGAGAAUAUUAUGGAUAAGAGAAUGACAAUUUUUAAAUGUAAAUUUACAUUUAUUGUAAGUCAAAAUGAUAAUCUUAUUUGAAACCUACUCAUUUAUCAUAUAAUUUUUUAAAUGAUUGAAGAUCCACUUUAAUACAUGAUACGAAAAAGUGCAUAUUUUAUAUAUAUAGGUCUCAUUUUUACAAUUAUUUUUAAAUUGCAUUGAUACAAAUAUUAUAAAAGUGAAGAAUACAAAAUCGUAAAAGAUGAUGAUGUCAUAAUAGAGUCCAUAUUUAAAAGUAAGAAUGAAUCUCAUUUACGUGAAUGGUUUUAUUUAUCGAUGUGUAUUUAGAUAUAUGUUGAGGUGAUUAUACAAUAUCGUCACAGGCAUGCAACGGGACUAGUUUUGACGGUUUUGACCAAUAGCAUAAGAAGUUGACAGACAGCCAUCAAUAUAUCUGUCAUUCUCAAGUCACCUCACUUUGCCUUGCAUCGUUGCAUGCUUCUUCCGACGAGAUUCAUUCACCAGUUAUGUUGUGAUGGUUAUAUGUGCAUCGAUCCAGGUUAAGCUACCAAAAUGCCAAUCACAUGCCCUAAUUCACCACGUCUACCCUCCUCCUCCACCGAACAUGACAUUCCAGAACUCAGCAGCCGUAGUAGUAGUACUUGUACCCACCGGCGCCACCGUGGCACCAUUAAUGGUUACAGCUGGCUUCACAUCAUCGUUAAUGGGGAACAACACCCUUUCUUCAUUACACCCCACAUCACUCUCCUCGUGAUCAUCAUCUUCAUCUCAAAUCUCAAAGCCACCACCAUGGAAAGCCGGACAACAAAAUGCUGGCGGCGGCGGCGGCGGCGGCGGCAGGGGUUUCAUCAUUCCCAACUCAUCUCCUCUUCCACCGCCACAAUUAUUAUGAUAAGGAAGGAGUGGGACCAUAGAGUAGUAGUUAGGGUUCAGGAAUUGAUGAACCACUUCACUGAACUUGUAUGCUGCCCGAGGCGGCGGAUGGUAAGCCAAGUUCAGUUCUUGUCCCGCCUUGUCAGCCGUGGUCGUGACAAGCUUCUUCUUUGAAGCGGCGUGAGGAGGAGGGGAGCGAUCGGCGGAAGAAGAAGAGCGUUUGGCGGGGGCGGACUUACGGGAGCCGCCCCCGAUGGGGACAUCGCGGAGGGCGCCGCCUCGAGUCCAGUAGCGACGGCAGGUCUUGCAGAAGUAUCUGGGCUGGGUCAAGCUGUAGUUGUUGUAGUAGCAGAACUUGGUGUCGCCCGAUUGGCAACGCGGGCACUUGAUUACGGCUUCUCCUUUCCUGCUUUGCGCCGCUGCCGUUGCAUGAGGCGGUGGCGGCGGAGUAGCGGCGGAGUAUGAAAGGGCUUCUUCUUCACCACCAACAGCAAUCCCCUGGAGGAGAAGAACAGAGAAUUAAGGACAAACAGACAAAAGGGAAAGUGAAAAAAAGAUAUUUCAACUUCGACAAAAGAAAGCAACAACCUCAGCAAUACAAACCGACCUAGAAAGCAGCCAACAAAGAAACAGAGACAAACCAGCUGCAGAACAGAUGAUUAACUGGUUAGGGUUUUUAAGUGAAAGAAGAAACGACAAGCUAAUAUAUAGAUUUCAAACAAGAGAGAAAAAUCCAAGAAAGAAAACUACAUAAGCACCGCAGAUCAACAAGACAACAACAGCCAGAAGACAAUCAUAAUCAUCGUAUAGAGCAAGAGGCAUGAGAACAAGUAGAAGAAAAAUAAAACUCGAGUACUGACGGGAUCAGAAACAAAUUGGUAAAGUUGGUAACUUUGAAAAUCACAUCAACAAUCCACCCACAAAGCAUGAUGAUGGCUUGAAAGAAAGAAAGAAGCUAAAAGGGUUGUAAUUCUUUUUUGAGUUUUUUGUUCACCUGUUGUUGUUGCCACUGAGGAGGAGGAUCCAUGGCGUAGUCUUUUUCUAGCACCGCUGCUUUUCACGCAAAAGAAAGCGAUAAAGGCUCCACCUUUUCUUUUCCUUUCUGUCUUUCUGCAGGCAAACUUGAGAAAGUGGAAUAGCUGUAAAGCAAACUCCAGUACUAGCUACUUCUACUACUUCACAACUGAGAGACUGAUGACGCAAUUCCUUAUUUCUAUGAUGACGCUAGCUACCUUCUAGCCUUGGUACUCGUGGUCGAGGGUACUUUUGUCUUUUGCCCUCACUUCCCCCUUCUACUACUAGCUACAAGACUCUCCACCUUCCUGUAUAUCUUCUUCUUGUUUGUAAAACAAAAAUGAGUUAAAAGACGAGUGAAAAAUGUCAAAGGAAAAAAAUUAUUCUGAAAGGUGGCCCCAUCGAAAGUGGUUCGGUCAUUGAUUGCUUUUGAAAUUGGAGCUAUAUGAAAAAAAAAACUUCCCGAUAAGUUUUACGGCCAGCGAGAGUCACCGGAACUCCACUCCGACCACCAAAUUACUAUUUACUUAAAAAGGCCAAAUAUUCAAAUCUAACUCGAAUUUUAAACAAAUUGUUAAAUUUAGCCUGAACUAUUUUAAAUCUCAAAUCUCUCUUUUAAUGAUUUCCAUCUAAAUUAACAGAAUUUUAAAUGCCAGUGUUGAUGUGUAAUUUGUAUAAUGUAAUGUUGCAAUUUUAAAUUGAAAAAAAAUUAAAAUCAAUCAAUUUUAAACUCCAAUCUACGUUCCUCCCUCACCAACCUCUAUGUUAACCUAUAUGUUAAAAAUUUAACAAAAAAUUUAAUCAACGAGUUAAAAUUAACAAAAAAAUAAAAUUAUUAACAAAAAAUAAUCAUCAAAAUAAUUNNNNNNNNNNNNNNNNNNNNNNNNNNNNNNNNNNNNNNNNNNNNNNNNNNNNNNNNNNNNNNNNNNNNNNNNNNNNNNNNNNNNNNNNNNNNNNNNNNNNNNNNNNNNNNNNNNNNNNNNNNNNNNNNNNNNNNNNNNNNNNNNNNNNNNNNNNNNNNNNNNNNNNNNNNNNNNNNNNNNNNNNNNNNNNNNNNNNNNNNNNNNNNNNNNNNNNNNNNNNNNNNNNNNNNNNNNNNNNNNNNNNNNNNNNNNNNNNNNNNNNNNNNNNNNNNNNNNNNNNNNNNNNNNNNNNNNNNNNNNNNNNNNNNNNNNNNNNNNNNNNNNNNNNNNNNNNNNNNNNNNNNNNNNNNNNNNNNNNNNNNNNNNNNNNNNNNNNNNNNNNNNNNNNNNNNNNNNNNNNNNNNNNNNNNNNNNNNNNNNNNNNNNNNNNNNNNNNNNNNNNNNNNNNNNNNNNNNNNNNNNNNNNNNNNNNNNNNNNNNNNNNNNNNNNNNNNNNNNNNNNNNNNNNNNNNNNNNNNNNNNNNNNNNNNNNNNNNNNNNNNNNNNNNNNNNAUAAUUUUGUAUAUGGAGUUGUACAGAUCAUACAAUUGUGUAUAUAUUUAUACUAAUUCGUACAAAAGUAUAUACACAUUCAUAUGAUUUUUAUACAAAGUUUAACUACUUAGUAUAGUACUUAGUUUACAUAUUUAUGACUUUGAAAUGUCAAUUUUAUCUCGUAUUUUUAGCUGUUAGAUUGAGGACACAAUUUUUGGUAUUGGAUUCAGAAGCUGUAUCUCUAGCUCAAGAUUCGUACUGUCACAAAUUUCCAUUUUUUAGAUUUUCAUAUUUUAAAAGCCCAAUGUUAAGUUGUUUUUCAAAAUUAGAAAAUUGUACGACAUUUUUGUUUCAUGUUUGACGUCUAAGUUGCAGUGGUAUGAAGCAACAAAAUGAACACAUUAAAAUUUUUUUAUUUCUAUCCUCAUUAGUUAUUUCCCAAGUCCAUAACUCACAACAUCACAUCAAUUGGGUGUUGGUCACCUCCUACAGCCAAGAAAUGUGUGCCUUCUUCAAUGACCAUCAAACCAUCUUCAUUAGCUCUGCUGAGAUGCUCACAAGGGCUAACUAGGAACUCAACCUCACCCUUUUCUCCUGCACUUAGUACCACACUCUUGAAUCCAACCAGCUGUUUCCUUGGCCUCCCAUUUCCAUGCUUUCCCUGCCUUGCAAACAGCAGCACAGGAUGCUUCCCAGCCAUCUCACCCUGGUUUUCCACCUCAACUCUCACCGCAAAUUCGCUUUGCUCGCAGAACUCUGCCCCUAAGUUAGACACUAGCAUCGACCGAACUGAAUCCGAUUUGUCAACUGUGUGCACUGACAUGGAGGACGACUGGUUUAAGUAAAGUUUGUCUUGCGAUACGUGCUUCAGCUCGUACGAGUACUUGGAGUAGCUGAGGCCAUGACCAAACUCGAACACGCUCCGGCCUUUGUAGAAUCUGUAUGUUCGGCCUGGAUAGCUAGAAGAUGAUUCGGGUCGCAUCCUCAUAUCUGUCAUCGGUACCUUAACGAACUCUUGAGGAUACCAAGUAACUGGUAGCCUUCCACCUACAUAGCAACAAGUACAACGUUACAAUAGUACUGGUAGGUUAAAGGUACGGAUUGGUAUCUGGAAUCAUGCUUCAUAGAAAGUUGAAUUGAAGUCUGGACGAAAGUUGUGUUGAAGUUAAAAAGAGGUUGAGAAAUACAACGGCCACUUUGGUUAUGGUUAACGGUUAAAACUAAUUAAUCGAUCGAAGAACCUAAUUAGAUUGGUUAAUCGGUUAAAGAUUUAAGAAUUUAUUUUAGCGGAUUAAUCAUCAUCGUGUCGGUCGGUUCACAGGUUAAUCUUUUUUAUCAAAUGCUAAUUAACCAACCAAAUGUGAUCUGUUUAUUAACCAUCCCAACCGAAGAAAAGUUAAAUGAAAGGAUAUAAGUUAAAUUUCCUCCACAACCUUACCAAACUUCAACUUCUAUUCAAUUUGAAAUCUCCACAACCUUUUCAAUUCCACUUGAAAUUUGUUAUAUCAUUCUAUUCAACUUUCUUUGCACAGCCUUACCAAACUUCAACUCAACUUUCUUCCACUGAUCUCAGCUCAACACUUUCUUAGAAAACAUAAUUCUAGAUGUCAACGAAAAUAAAGAUACUCACCUGGAUUGUGAUCACCGAAGAUAAUUUCUGCCAAUGCAGUCCCGCCAGCUUGACCUGGGUAACCAGCCCACAAAAUGCUUCCUAUUUUGUUAUCGUACUUGGCAAAAGAUACAUCAAUAGGACCUCCAGAAAGGAGCACGAGAACAACAGGAUUCUUUGCAGCUCUGGCGACCCUGGUUAUGAGUUCCUGUUGCAUCCCAGGAAGUAUUAAAUCCACACGAUCGAGCUCUUCUCUCUCUUGUGUUUGAUCCAAUCCCAUUACAAGUAUCACAUGAUCCGCACCUUGUGCUGUUUUCACUGCUUGUUCAAUAUCAGCAGACGAGCACUGAACAUUUUCACAGCCCUGGAUGUAAGUGGUAUCCUUGACAUAAGCCUGAAGUCCCUGCAAUGGUGUGAUCAAUGUGCAUGGAGGACCUGCAUAGUUUCCAAGAAGAGUUCGACCAGGAUCUGCAUUCGGCCCGAUCACAGCAAUGGACCCGGAUUCAGACUUGUGAAGAGGGAGAAGUCUCCCCGAGUUCUUCAAAAGAACAAUGCCAUUGCGAGCAACUUCAAGUGCCAGCAUCUGAUGCUCUUGAGAACAAACUUGGUCGGGACCAAUGUUGCCGAAAACUUGUUCCUUUGGAUCCCCAUUGAAAAGUCCUAACCUCAUUCUCAACGCGAAGAGGUUGUGGAGAGCUCUAUCGAUUUGUGAUACUGGAAGUUUCCCUUGCUCAACUGCUGUUUUGCUGUGCUGCUGCAAGUAUAAUCCACAGUCCAUGUCCAUCCCUGCAGUCAUUUUUUGUGGCUAUCUCAAGUGAACUUGACUUGACAUCAUGAUCUUAAAGACACAUAUAAAGAGACUAGACAAAUUCAAAAAUCAUAAUUGAGUUCACUGAUGCUAAUAUGUAAACUCUUUGGCUUCGUUUGGCAUGUGAAAAGUUGGAUGGAAUCUAGAUGACAACGGGAUAGUUUGAUCAACAAAAUCACUUUAUCGAAAUCUAACUUUCUGGUCCGGUUGGGAAAAUGCUCAACAAUUCAUCCAACUUUCCAUCGGCCAAACCAAGCCCUUGUCUCAAGAUGUCAAACUUUUCCAUGCUCGCGUUUGAUCAUUCUUUAGAUUCACACAAUGGCUAAUGUUUGUACUUUGUACCAUCCAAAUAGAGUUCAAGAUGGUUUAAUAAAAUAUAGGAUUCAUGAUAGUCCAAUUUUUCUCAGUUUGAUCAUAGGAAUGGGUAGGUCAACCUUCAAUUUAGCAGCUAACACCCCCAUUAACAAACAAACAAACCCACAUGAAAUCCAGGGACAGUUAAAGAACGUUUUGCCUAUUUGUAGGUGUGAUCAUUAAUUGAGCUAGGGUAAAAACAACAUGGAGGGUUCCACACCCGAAAGUGUCCAAAUUCGGUUGACAAAUGCACAUGCUUUUUAUAUAUGAGGAGGACCAAUGAGAUGGGUUGUCGUUUUCAAAAUUACCUGCUUUAAGAACGUCGGCAACAGCAUCCUCUGGCUGUUUAGCAUAGCCUUGAGCAUCAUGAAUGAUAGAAACAGCAUCACAGUCAGAUGUUAUGUACCUGAAUUCAGCAAUUUGGAUACGUUACGAAACAAUCCAGCACAAUUUUUUUUCCAAAUUUGGUGAGUUAGUGUAGUAGGUAGUAGGUAGUAGGUACCCAUGAAAACCCCAUUCGGCUCUGACAGUUUUGGAAAGAAGAUUGUAAUCAGCACAGCUUGGAACCCCAUUAACUCUGUUGUAUGCACACAUUAUCCCACUGGCUCUUCCUUGUUUGACGCAGCUCUGGAAUGGUGGCUGAUAAGUGUCCGCCAUAUCUUGUUGAGUCACCUUCAUUCAUACCCCCCAUAAAAGAUUUCAACACCAACACCAUACCAAGUGAGUAUCAUUAACUACUAACAAAACAAAUGCAUAAAAAAGUAACUCUUUUGAUGAAUAAUAUAAAAGUCAAUCUAAACCAUCUUCCAACAACUCGAGCUAUUAGUAUGCACGUAGUUGUUGAUAUGAUAUUAGAGCCUCUAAAGACCGAGAGGUCUCAAUUUCAAAUCCUGGUAGUUGUGCAAACCUCAACUGUUCCGAGAGCUUCAUAACCAAUCUGAACCCUCUUGCAAUAACUCGAGUUAUUGGGAUGCACCGAUUCUUGAAAUAGAAGCAUUUGAACUUUGUUGCAUUUGAAGGAGAAACAAACAAAUAAACAAGGCACGUACUCGAGCAUCAAAGAGGAAGCGAUUGACGCCCUUCCAGUUGUCCAAAUCAUAAGCAGUGAAAUGCUUGCAACAAGCAGAAGCCUGGAGAUGACCCUUGAGCUUAGCAUCACCAUGAAAAGAGUCACCUUGAACUCCUCUCACAAAAGAAACUGCAUACUUGCCAGUGAUAAAAGGAUCCUCCCCAGGGGUUUCUUGCCCUCUCCCCCAUCUAGGGUCCCUAAAUAUGUUAAUGUUUGGUGCCCAAAACGUCAGCCCUGAGGCCUGCCCUGAAUUGUACAGCGCCCUCGCCUCUUUCCCAACCACCUUAUUAUCAAUCAAUUUUGUUCGUACCAAAACACAAAUCAAAACCCAGACAACAGUACGAGCUGUAAUUAAUCCACCAUUAAAGAUGUACAAACCAACCAAACCUGACCAAUACGGUACCACUGAUAGGCGUCGAAGGAAGCGGCGGUGAGGAUGACUUGAGGGAAGCUGGUGGCUUUGGAAAUGGUGCCGUUGAAGUGAAUGCCACGCGCGAAAGCCACGCCGUGUAGGGCCUCGGACCACCACUCGUAGGCUGGGAUGUCGAGCCUGGGAAUGGCUGCUGCUGAGUUGACGAGUUGGGAGAUCUUCUCGUCCAGAGUGAGCCUGGAUACCAGGUCUAUGGCUCUUUCCCUAAUGGGUAGCUUUGGGUUGCAGAAUGGCAGGACGGAGGAGGAAGUUGAUGGUCCGCAUGAAAAUGCAGGCUGCUGUUGGAAGGAAGAGAAAGGUUGGAGGAGGAAGAGGAGGAUGAAGAAGAUAAGCUUAGUAGAAUCCAUGGCUGGCUAGACUAGCUAGUAGCUAGUAGUUGAGUGAGAGUGUCUGUUAGUGAGUGGGAGCAAAACUGAAACUGUAGCAAUAGAAAAGGCAAAAAGACACUCUCUUCAAAACUGGCCAACCGUCCUUUUACAUGAAUCAAGACUCCCUUCAGAUUUAAAUAAAAUAAAACAAAAUAAAAGGAGGAGUGGAGUUAGUACCGUCCCCGCUUUUAAAUGCGCCUUUUUUAUUGGUGACAUUACACGCACUAGUUACAGCCCAGCCCACCAGAAGCCGGCCCACCUAACAAGCUGGAUCCUUGGAUCUCACAUUAUCUAAAAGUUAAAAUUAAACAUAGAUAAUAUAGUUAUGUUAUUUUAAAUAUUUUUGUUGAACAAGAAUUCAGCCAUUUUUCAUCGUCAGAUUACCAUCUCUGGUCAUCGAGAAAUUUCUCGAUCAAUUUUGCGACAAUUCCAACCUCUAUUGACCACUUUUUUUUCACCUAUAUAAUCAUAGUCAUUAGUUCUAUAUUUCCGGUAAAACAAAAAAUUAAAAGAUAUUAUCCGACAUCGAUAUACAGAAGUAUAUAUACAUUUUUUUUUAAGUCGGUAAACAACGUAAGGAAGAAGGAGUCAUGAAGACUUUUUGAAGUCGUUUUUAUUGAAUUAGUUCAUCUUAAAUAUAAUAAUGGCUUGCAACACUGUACAUGAGAUUUUGACAACUGGUUUUAUCUCCAUCGCAACUGCACCGAAAUUAUCUCGUCAGUGUAUUUAAUUUAGCACCAAAUAUCUUGUCCAAAUCACCACUUUCCCGAACCAUUUCAUGAAGAAUUUUAUUCAAAACACAACCUCACAAUCACCAAGUUCCAAACACGACUUUAUUUGUAUACAAUAAGAUACUACGACAUAUAUUAUAUACUUCUUUUUUAUACAAAUUUAUUUAUAUAUCGAGGAGCUCUCGUAAAAUAAGAUUUUCAUUAUAUACGGUUUCUAUUUUGUGUCGUGUCGUUUAUAUUUUGAUAUAAAUAUACUAAUAUACCCUUAAUAAAAGUUUUCAUUUACUAAUUUGCUAAAAUAACUCUUAUUGUAUUAAUUAAUCAUCAACAUGAUAAGCGAUUUGUGAAAAGCGAAGCUACAAAGAAAGAGAUUUUGGAAGCCGCCAUUAAUGAGUUUGUAUAUUUAUGAGACGAGUGANNNNNNNNNNNNNNNNNNNNNNNNNNNNNNNNNNNNNNNNNNNNNNNNNNNNNNNNNNNNNNNNNNNNNNNNNNNNNNNNNNNNNNNNNNNNNNNNNNNNNNNNNNNNNNNNNNNNNNNNNNNNNNNNNNNNNNNNNNNNNNNNNNNNNNNNNNNNNNNNNNNNNNNNNNNNNNNNNNNNNNNNNNNNNNNNNNNNNNNNNNNNNNNNNNNNNNNNNNNNNNNNNNNNNNNNNNNNNNNNNNNNNNNNNNNNNNNNNNNNNNNNNNNNNNNNNNNNNNNNNNNNNNNNNNNNNNNNNNNNNNNNNNNNNNNNNNNNNNNNNNNNNNNNNNNNNNNNNNNNNNNNNNNNNNNNNNNNNNNNNNNNNNNNNNNNNNNNNNNNNNNNNNNNNNNNNNNNNNNNNNNNNNNNNNNNNNNNNNNNNNNNNNNNNNNNNNNNNNNNNNNNNNNNNNNNNNNNNNNNNNNNNNNNNNNNNNNNNNNNNNNNNNNNNNNNNNNNNNNNNNNNNNNNNNNNNNNNNNNNNNNNNNNNNNNNNNNNNNNNNNNNNNNNNNNNNNNNNNNNNNNNNNNNNNNNNNNNNNNNNNNNNNNNNNNNNNNNNNNNNNNNNNNNNNNNNNNNNNNNNNNNNNNNNNNNNNNNNNNNNNNNNNNNNNNNNNNNNNNNNNNNNNNNNNNNNNNNNNNNNNNNNNNNNNNNNNNNNNUACAAAUUAUUUUUUUAUUUUACCAUAUUAUCUAAAAAUUUAUAAAUCUCUUCUCCCUCCUUCGGAACCAUAAAAAAUCGAAAUAAGUAAACAAAAUUCAUUUGAGGUGAAAUGAUUUCAAUUUACCUCUAAAUCUGAAGAAAGGCAUAUGGCGGGGCAAGUCAACUAAUAGCUAGUGUCAAGAGGAAGCUAUCAUAAAAUUUAUUUCUUUGGUUCAGAAAUUUCGCACUGAAAUCAGUUGGAAAUAAUAUAUAAGAAGAAAGAUUCAAUGGUGUUUUUAUCAGAGUUUAUUUAGGGAAACAAAAAUAAAUAAACUGAUUGAUAAAUAGUAUUACGCCUCUUCUUACAGAAACAGAGGGAGUUAGAGUUGUAUGGCGAAGCCUAAGAUGACCGGAGGAGAUGUGAUCGGAAUCGAUCUCGGCACAACCUUCUCCUGCGUCGCCGUCGCACGACACGACAAGAUCGAAAUCAUAGCCAACGACCAAGGCAACCGGAUCACCCCUUCUUUCGUCGCUUUUGCAGCGGUCAACUCCGAGCGCCUCAUCGGAGAAGCCGCCAGAAACCAGGCGGCACUCAACCCGACCAGAACCAUCUUCGACGCCAAGCGCCUCAUCGGAAAGAAGUUCGACGACCCAGAGGUCCAGAGGGAUAUCAAGCUGCUGCCUUAUCCCGUGGUCAACAGAGAAGGAAAGCCCUAUGUUGAAGUAGAGCUCAAUUAUAAAGGCGGCGCCGGAGAAGUCAAAUCCUUCAGCGCCAUCGAAAUCAGCGCCAUGAUACUAGGGAACAUGAAGGAAAUAGCAGAAUCUUACAUCGGAAAGCCCGUUACUGGUACCUCUCUGAAACUUUUCUAUCAAAAUGUUUUUUUUGACCUUUUUAGAGAUAUUAUAUUAUUAACUGUUGUACUUAAAUUUAAUUAUAAAUAAUUAUAACUCACUACUAAGUACUCUAAUUAGUUAUAACCAAUUAUAUCGUGUUAUUCGAGUAUGAAGUUACAUACGAUUAUAAUAAAUUAUAGACAAUUAUAAUUUAUUACGAACUAUUAUAAUCAAUUCUGCAGGAGCUGUGGUGACGGUCCCUGCUUACUUCAACGACGCACAGAGGAAAGCAACCAAGGACGCCGGCACGAUCGCCGGACUCAACGUCCUCCGCAUCAUCAACGAGCCAACAGCUGGCGCUCUGGCCUACGGGCUGACCAACCAAGUCGGUAAAGGGGAGAAGAGGAAAAUUCUGGUGUACGACUUGGGAGGGGGUACGUUUGACGUGAGCGUGUUGGAUAUCGAGGACGGGGUAUUUGAGGUGCUGGCCACCGGCGGCGAUACUCAUUUAGGUGGGGGAGAUUUCGACCGGAGGUUGAUGGAGUAUUUCAUAGAAUUGAUCAAAAGCAAGUACAAAAGGGAUAUAAGCCGUGAGAGCAAGGCGUUAGGGAGACUAAGGAAGGAAUGCGAGAGGGCUAAGAGGGCACUGAGCAAUCAGACUCAAGUGAGGAUCGAGAUAGAUUGUUUCAUACAAGGGGACGAUUUUUCGGAGCCGUUGAGUAGAGCGAGGUUCGAGGAGCUGAAUUUGGAUCUGUUUAAGAAAACGAUGGAGGUGGUGAAGACAACGAUAGAGGAUGCAAAGUUGAAAAAGAGCGAAAUCGACGAGAUUGUGCUGGUUGGGGGUAGUACUAGAAUUCCGAGGCUGAGGGAGAUGCUGAAGGAGAUGUUCGACGGGAAGGAGCCUAGUAAAGGUGUGAACCCGGAUGAAGCUGUGGCUUAUGGUGCCGCUGUUUUGGGUGCGAAUCUAAGUGGCGCACAAGCUCAUGCUACUCUUUACGGUACGCUAAAUGUUUCAAAAAAUUUGACGAUUGAUUGAUCUUACGGUUCGAUUAACUCAAUUGCAAUUAAUGGAUGCAGAUGUUACUCUGUAUGAUGUAACUCCAUUGAGCUUGGGAGUUGAGGUUCUUGGCGGAUUGAUGUCAGUUGUUAUUCCAAGGAACACUGCUAUUCCAACCAAAUUGGCCGGGGAGUAUUCCACUAAAGAGGACCAGCAAACCUCUGUCAGUAUCAAGGUUUGUUAAUGGCUUCCUCAAUUGGAUUUGAUUACCUAUUAAUUAAUCUAGCUAACCACCAAACCCCACUUGUUUACGGCACAAAUAAUUAAUUCACAUGCAUUAUAAUACUGUAUUAAUAUUGGCCGUCCAACCUUUUUAUUCAAACCUCUGGUAAAUGGAACAAAUUAAGAUAGGUGAUCAUCACCUAAUGUGAAUAUGACAAUUAAGUUCAAAUUGGUUUUCAGGUGUAUCAAGGCGAAAGACCCCUCACCAAAGACUGCAUUGAGCUUGGAAGAUUUGUACUGUCCGGUAUCGUUCCAUCUCCAAGGUAUAUAUUAACAAAAAAGUUAACUAACAAAGUCUGUUUUUACUUUGUGCAGCCCAUCUUUACGGUAACAAACAUGGUACUUGAUUGUAAUUUUAAUCUCAGGGGAGUUGCGAAGAUAGAGGAGGCGUUUGAGAUCGACGAGGACGGCAUACUGACGGUGACGGCAAAGGAAAAGAUAUCACCGUCGGGAAGGUGUGAAUCCCUUACCAUCACCAACUACAAAGGAGAUUUGACCAAAGCGGAGAUCGACAGGAUGAUAAAAGAAGCCAAAAAAAUGGACGAGCAAGACAAAACUGCCAAGGCUCGUGUGGACUCCAAGAACCAGCUCGAGCGCUACUUGUACGAUAUCAAAUACGCCAUGAGCAACGGGGGAGGAGAUGGCCGGAAGCCGUUGCGAGAUAAGAUGAGCUGGAAUGAGAAGAGAAAGGUGGAUGCCUGUGUGGGAGAGGCUUCAGAUUGGUUGGUGUCGGUUGAGAACCAUUAUGCUAGAAAAGAAGAUUAUGACAAGAAACUGAAGAAGCUGAAAGAUCUAUGGAAUCCUAUCAUAACCAAAGUUUAUGGUUCCUGAUGAUCAGCCAGCUUAACUAUAUAUGCUACUACUUAAUUUGCCUACUCAUGUAGUUAAGUUGUAAAAAUCAACAGUUGAAAUGUUUCGCUUUGAUUUCCUUUAUUACUUUAAAACUCUCUACGGUUUGGAUUCUGGGGCAUCUUUUCUUUUCUAACAUAAAAGCAUUAGGCGGAGACAUUUCAGCAUAUGAAACUACGAUCAUUGAGGCAUUUCAUCGAACUCCAUAACUUAAAGAGCUGCUGCAGCAAAGAGAGAACAUUGAUUUUGAAGCAAACGUGACAUCAACCAAGUUCGAAUACAACACAACAUAGAUAAAAUAUCCACAUGGUUGAAGCAUUUGAUCGAGCAGUUGGAGUGCAUACCUUGAGACUUUCUGCAGCCAAAAAAUUUUUGGGGUUAUAGAUCCACCAAGGUGGAGAGCCUUAACCGGGUGUGUGGUAACAAGAAGGCUCGAAAGCUGUUCCCUUUUGGCAAUAGCUCAGCAAUGUGGUAUCCUUUUGUAGGAGGGUUUGGUUUCUUUGGCAAGAAGGGCUCACUAAAGAUUGGUCGAUUAUGAUUUGAUUGUUGAUUUCGUGGGAAACAAGUAAGUGUUUAAUUCAAUUGACAUGUUAUUGUUAAUCAACUUCAAAACUCUACCAUCUUGGAAUCAAAUUUUAACGAUUGCCGUUACAAAAUCCACAUAGUGCGUUUAACUACGUAUUACCAUAUAUCCACAAAAUUUUAUCACAGUUUAGUUUGUUAUUAGUAGCAAAAUUAAACUGUCGGUCGAGCGGCUAAUUGAUGAGGAAAGUAUCGUCAAAAACUCUAAUUCAAGUUUCAUUCAAUCUUCCAAUUCAAACGUCAUGAAUCUAAACUUGAAGCAGCUCUUCAGGUUCUCAGCUCUUCAGGUUCUCAAACACAUUGCUAUGUGCGGGCAAGUCGGUUCCACCACAUACACAAACUCAUUGCAGUAUUGGAUGUCGAAACAAACCAAAGGCAAGAUGAAUGUAGAGCUCAUCUAGAAAUAUGAACCGGUUAGAUUUGGAAUCCGAUUAGUAUUUAAUAAUGUUGCUAGGACCGAACAUCGGUCCGACCUAAAAAAACUUGGAACUUUUCGUAAAUACCAGCACUGACGGUUCACUGAAAAAAUCGUCCGGUUUGAUGAAAACUCCCAAACCAUUCGAAUUUGUUUAGAACAAUUCUUACAGUUCAUCAACUCAAGUGAAAGAGAAAUAGUGGUAUAUCAUUUGCACCAAUGAGUUGAUGAAUGAAUCAUAAAUGUCGAAUUACCAUGUUUAUUGUAUUAUUAUUUUCUAUUUUCAGUUGACCUUCAUAAAUAUGAUAUUUUAUCUAUCAUUUGAUAUCUGUAUAGCAAUUGAACUUGUCAUCUAGUUCGACAUCCGCGGUGCUGACAUUGAUAUUCCACAACAUUGCAAACAAAUGAAGAUGGGUAACCAAAUAUAUAUGCUGUACUAGUACAUUCAUACAACAUUCGUACCAUACAGUUUGAGCCUAUUCUGGUGACUUGUACAAAAUUACACUUGGCCAUUUUCAGGGCUGCAGCCUGCAAGUGAUAUGCAGCAAGUUCCUCAUUACCUUUCUAUUCUGCUGGCGGUGUAAGUAACCCCCAUUUUCUCCUGUGUUCUUAGCUCUCCUCAUUCAACUUGCAAAUGUCCACAAAUUUCUGAACUGCAUUGUGAUAUUGGGUUCCCUGCACCAACAUCACAGUUUAACCACAAAUGCGCAAGGACACUUAACUUGGAAGCAAACAGAGAUAAGGAACAACUAAGCCACAGAAGCUGAACCUCCCAGUAAAGUUGGUUGCAUUCCAUGCACUGCCAAAAUUCCAAGUUUUUGUUGAACAAACAGCUAGGAAUCUUUUGAAAGCCCUUUGCAGCUUCAACUGCCUCUUCGGUUGUUAGAGGCUUUUUAAUAAAACUCCCAUUGCACCUUGUGCGCCCUGAGCAUAGCCGCACUUUGCCAAUCCUGUUUUUUACAACCCCCUUUUCCACCUCCACCUGCCUCUUCGGUUGUUAGAGGCUUUUGAAUAAACCUCCCAUUGCACUUGGUGCACCUUGACAUUAGCCGAUCUUCGCUAAUCUUUAAAUUAAAGAUUUCGAUCACCUGCAUUUCAUUUCAACUUUAAAAUACAAAUUGAUACAAAAGCAAGAAAUGAUAAAUAACUAUAACCCCUUGCACAUUUUUGCCUAAAAGACUCAAAUCAGUAAAGGAAUCACAUUUCUUUGUGCAUAAAUUUGGUACACACUGAUGAACUCUUUGUAAACAAAGAUCAUUCAACUUUAAUGAAGAUUAGUCCCGGUGACUGCGAAGUAUACACAAUCUGAAUCUUAAGCACAUUAAUAGUGUCAACUGUUGAUGUACUCAAAACAUAUUAAUUAAACUGAACCUCUGCCUGAUCUCAAUAUGAACUCAAACUAUCAUAUGCUAGGUUAGAAAAGAAUAAUUGUGAACAGUUCCAUGGAACAAGGGUACCAUCUUUUAUACCUCAAGUAGUUGCUGAUUUUUAACAAGACUCUUCACUCUGUAAAUAUGGUUCUUUAUCAAGUGCCGAUGCCUCAAUAACUUAGCAUCCCGAGUCAAGAGCACUCUUUUUUCUUUGUAUGCUUGAUCUAUCAAUUCCCUGUCAUCAAGGAAACAAAUAGCUUAACAGUUCAGAGACAUGUAAGGAGUCAGUAACACAAACAAAGGAGGGUUUCAUUUUAACUUACCUGGGUUCAGGUUUUUUAGAGAAUGGAAUUGCAGCAUCGAUUCCCACACAACGAAGAUGUUUCGCCAAGCCUUCAAUCUACAUGAACCAGCUUUAGAUGCACAGAACAAAGAAGACAUAGUGAAAUGCACCGGGUUGGGAUUGAUCCAUCAUGAACACAAUUUUCUCUAAAAUGAUCUUGUUUGAGAGUGAUAAGAAAAUGAACAUGAUCCAAAACUAUUAUGGAUCUUUCCAUUCUGCAGUCGUGCGAAAUUACGAAUAAGAUUUUCAAUGUCAUGUUGCCUCAAGUUAUCAUUCCAAUAAUACUAAAGAGGCCUAACUAGAGAAAAAGAAACUUAACAAAUUUAACAAUUUUUUUGGUUCCUGCUAGGCGUUUUAGCUAUAACCCAAAAGCAAAUAGUAAAGAAUGACAUUGUUUUACCAUAACAUCACACAGGAACUUGGGGCUUCCAUCACCGCCUUCAGAUAAAUCCCAUGGUGUGCUACCUUCCCAGCUACCAUCAUCUAUCCAAUUUUCUCUGUUAACUUGAGUUGUGGAAGGUUUUCUCUUUCCUCUUUUCUUAGAAGAUCUUGGUUUUCUGUCAGAAGCUUUCAACAAGAUCUUUUCACCAUGUUUCUUUACUAUCUCGAGGAGUGAUUCAGCCAUUGGCAUCGUAUUUAUCAGUGUCGUCCUGGAAAUUACUCCAUCUCCCAUUAUUAUUUGGCAAUGUACAGAAGAAACAGUAGCCCUAACUAUUGCCAAAGCUUCACAACUUUUAACCCUCAUGUGUUUAUUACCGCUUUCAUCUAGUUGAAGAACUUCUUUUAACCCAACAUAUGGUAUAUGCCCAUUUGUAAUUCGAGAAGAACUUCCUGCAAUUCAAGUCCAAGGAGCUUCAGAACAAGAAAUGACAACUUAAACGACGGUCAUAAAGUAAUAGCUGUGGAGAAAAUAAUACGACUGGCUUCAUAAACAACUUCUGAGGAAGUGAUCUCAAAUCAAUUUUCAAGAAGACGAAGUAUGGAGUAGAAUGCAGAACAGAACAUGAAGUGUUAUUUACCACAAUAUUGACAAGCUUCUGAAAAGAGAAUCUAUGUGAAAUAAGACAGUGAAACAUCAGUAACAACACUUAUCAAUGGGACAUUUUAUUGUUAACAACCAAGAUUUGAACUGUGAGUGCAAAUCACAUGUGUGGUAUCCAUAUGCAUCCCGGAAAAUAUAACUUUAACAAAGUAAUAUGUUUUCACUUAUUAAACCACAUACAACCAUAUGUACAAGACCAAGAGCAUCAAUGUCUUGCCACGUAUAUAAACAGCAAAUGGUGAACUUUCGGAUAAGCGUGACACCAGUGAAGAUCAAAGACCAGGAGGGUCAAUAUCUGAUGCAUAUGGCAAAGUCAUGAACUUUCCGAGACCAAUAACUUUGGCUACGUCAUGAAAUUUUAGAAAGACAGUUAUGACAUGCAAUAAUCCUGUAUUUCCAGAUAUGACAAGUUUCCAUUUCCUUUGCGCAGAGAAAAUCAACAUGAGUCAUGCAACUGUUUUUUUCCGCAUAAAUAUGAGUCAAGUAUCUGUUACCACAAGGAACGCAGAAGCUCACACCAUAAGUAACAGCUCAAGAUGGUUAGAAGCUUAUGAUUAUUUCGAAGCACAACAAACCUUUUUCCAUGACUUUGGACUUGAAAGUAGAAAAAACUUGAAGCAAGCAAUGUGCAUCUGCAGCAGCAUAGGUUUUCUGUUCUUCCGUAAGAGGUCGACAUGACCAAUCACUACAUUGAAGCUCCUAAAGACAGCAUUUAUAUUAAUUAAUAUAUCAUUCAUGUAAAUUGUCCAUGAAAGCUAAAGCCAUCAUUCAAUAUCAUUGCAGAAACUUUCAUGUCCAGAAGUGCAAUACAUUAACUAUGUCAAACAACUACUAAACGAGUAUUCGAACCGUAAAGACGAGUAAUGAUAUACCACUUUAUCCGCAUACCAUGGGGAAAUUUAUUAAGGAGAAAUAUCUAGACUGCGUGUGAAAUCUAGUAAUUUCUUACAAAGCAGAUAAGCUAAUCUUUUCAAUCAUAGGUAACUAUACUGGGAAAACCUUGCAUACAACAAACACCAAAAAGAAAACAAAACAAACUGAUGAUGAUAUGCGACAAAAAGUAAUAUUCAUUCCAGAAAACGCUGAACAUACCCCUGAUUGCAAUGUCAUUAGGAAAUUUAUUUUCCCAAAAAAAACUUCAAGGAAAUUAGGAAAACAAACAAUACCUUUGAAAGAGAAAUCCCCAAUAUCUCUUUGCAUAUAGUUGCUAGACUCUUUGUUUCAUUUGGCACCUUCAUUCCUGGUAGUUUUGGUUGUAGAAAAUGAUACAAACUUGUGAUGUCCAAAUACGGCUCCACCUAUUCAUCAUUCCUUGUUUAGUAACUAAAUCAGAAAUUGCCCUAAAGAUUACAAAACAGAUUGAGAAACAAUUCUAUGCUUAUUGAUUGGUAGAAAUCAAUGGCUCCGCUAUUGAUUAAGUGGUAACAAGCGUAUCAUACGAUAAAAUAAGGACAAAAAAAAUAUUCAGGGAGAGUGCUAUUCAAACAAAACUUCGAUUGAUGGAAUCAGCUGAAAGAAGCUUAGUCUAGCGGCAACUAUGGAAGCAUGCUUGCACAAACAAGAAGCAAUAGAAUUCAGGACCAUUGUAAAUCACUGUCCUAGAAGGUCCUUAUCUGAAACCACAAUAAUACAAAUUUAUUUACCACACAAAACAUGAGUCUUAGAAAGAACUUUUAAUACUGCAGAAGGAGAGCCUAUACACACAACGUCCUAUGGAGGAAGGAAUAUGUAGAUCGAUAAUUUGUUUGUAAGGCCACAACACAUAAUAGAAUCUUGACAUCGAAUCGGACUUAAGACUUCAAUAUGACAACAAACCUCAAACUAUUCUGAAGCUAACACCAAAAGGCAAAAUCCACUUUUAUAAAGGAGCUACAAAUGUUGAAUUGGAACAGAAUAUCGCUACGAUGGCAAUCAGACGCUAUUCUCAUAGUAAUCAGCUCAACAUAAACCAAAGAGAUGCUAAUAAUGCUAGCUUAAUCAUGCUAGAGCUUAACCAUAAUAUAAAUACAUGCAGCUUCAGCAUCGGCAUCGCAUAUUAGUAUCACCAUUCACCCACUAGCUUUUGUAGCUGUAACAGUUCAUAAUAGAGAAAAAGGGCAGAGCUUUAAGCGUUACCUUGUCAAACCCAGGAUCACAUCCGCGGGAGCAGAACGUCGAAGACAAGUAAGCCAAAUCUUGCUUGAAUCGAAAACCGAGCUUCAAUAUAUCGGGAGAAAUGAAUAAUUCCUUCAACAGUUCCCAAAUGGAAGGCAAGGGAAUUGAGUCGAGGUCAAGCAGGAAAACCUCCGAGUCAUUUUCCUCAGGGCUGAGUUGACAAGCGAGUUGGAGGAGGGACACAUUUGGGAAGGUGGAUUGUUGGGUCUUGAGUGGUUUCCACUCGGCAUCUAGCCCGAUGAUUGCAGAGCGAGCCAGGACCUGAGUGAGGCGGGCGAACUCGGGGGAGUCGUUUGAGGCGACAAUGUGAGUUGGAGGGAGUCGGUUCAUGGGUUCCAUUUGAAUCCUUCGAUUUGGGUUUAACAGAAAAGAAAAUGGAAAUCAGAUUGCAUCACUGAAUUUGGGUGGAAUAGGAUAGCGGAAGAAAGAACAAGUCUGGUAUGGUGUGGUAUGGUUCUCCGGUUCCGUUUCCAAAGGCUCUUUGCCGUCGUCGAGCUCGGAGACCUGAAUGGAAUAUGUUUCUUUCACGGAGGGCAAUAUUGACGUCACUAUUUUUUUGUCAUUGUUGGGGUCAAUUAUGGGCCUUCGUUUUGGCAACAUAUGUAGUAAAUUGGAAUAAUCAACUACGUUUUUUAUUUAAUUAAAAAAGUUUUUUUUUUAGUAAGAAUUAGAAGUUGCUUAGCAAUAAUCAAUUUGAUAAUUUUCAUGGAGGUGUUCGACGGUUUGUGGAAAAUGGGUAGCUACAACAAGUUGUAAAGGAAUAUUAUGUAGAAAUUUAGGUAUAAUUAGAUCAUAAAUAUUUUUUAAAUAUUUUUUUUAAGAGGGGUUCGUCUGGGGUGAACGAAGUUGAAUUGUUGUUACCUGAUCAAUAUUUAAUUUGAUUUCUUGAACUUUUAGAUAGAGAAUAGUAGUGAAUUUCAAAAUAAAGAGAGUAUGGUGGAUAGAAAGAGGUUUUAGGGAACGUACCGUGGGAAGAUUUCUGAUUUGUUUCCGGAAAGAGAAAAAAAAUGGAUUCAAGCAAAUAAUGGAUUUUGAAAUAUAUGGUUUGAAAUCAUCUCAUACCAAGCAAGGCCGAAAUUAGGUAGCGUUGCCUUUAGUUUUCGAGAAGGUUUUUCUCUGCUUGUUGCAUUCGAAUUGUGUCAAGACAAUGUUGUUUGGUUUGACAGUUGAAAAAUUAAAUGUAAUCUUGAACUAAUUUUUUCAUUGUCAUUUAAAUUUUAUCCAAAACAUUCCACCGCCAAACCAAGCCUAUAUAACUCAAUGGUGAGCAUAGCUUGCCUGCUCUGUACUAUGGUGCAUUUCUAUUUUCUAGACCUAAAAGAAGAUGGUGCAUUGUGUUUAUAUCCGAUCAAACUGUAAUAUUGCGGACUAUUUUCCUUGUGGCACAGGUGGUUUUUUAAACUGAGGAAAGUUCCAGAAUUCUUUUCGCUUGUUCUGAUGUACUUGUGUUUGUCUUGUUGAUUGUGUAUCGAGCAGCCUUCCCUCUUGUCCAAACGAAAAUCGUAGAUUUCUUCCGCAUCCAGAAGCCUUCAAAACCCAGAAAGAAACUAAGUGAAGGGCGCGUCCUUGAUCAAAUAGAUGAUGCCAGUAUUUGAUUCCUUUGGUUUUUGUUGUCGUUGAAGUUGUGGAAUUGCUUGUGACCAAUUGUAGACACCCCAAAUAAGCGUAAAAGAGCAGGCGGCUUAGUUAUGUCGAAAAAGAAGAGGAAGCUGCUGCCUUUUAACCCAAUUGAGGACCCUAACAGGAGGCUGGAACAGAUGAGAUCACUGGCAACAGCAUUGCUAGCCUCUGGAACAAGGUUUUCUGAUGACCUUACUUAUCAUCGACGGGGCAUGGCACCUCGAUCUGCCAAUUGCACUUCUCUUGAAAAGGGAGGUAUGCAGGUAGCUUCACAUAAUGACUAGAUUUAGUAUCUCUUAAUGCUUAGAUAUCAGCUAAUUUAUCUUUCAUUCAAACAUGGCCUGGAAAAUAGAAUGAACACAAAUAGGUAACACAAUGACCUAUGCCGGCUAAGUAGUAUGCAGCCCGGUUGCCUUUCCGAUAAAUGUACUUAACUUUGACGAUCCAGUCUUGAUCCAAUAUCUCAUGGAAACUGACGACCUCAGAAGUGUGCUGGUGUGCAAGCUCAUCGCCUCACCCAUUUUUUCAGAUGCAGGCUAACUGAAUUAUUAUACCUAAGAGAUUUGAGUGUCUUUAAGAAAUUCAAAGUAGCAUCUAAUGUUCUUUCACUGCUGCUUAUCCAAGUUUAUUGAAACCUAGAAGCUAAUGCUACUGAGUUAUAUUCUUAACCAAUUUGCACCCUGGAAAUGAUUCGGGUUCAGAUCACCCUACAUUCCGGCAUGAUGACAACUUUAUAGGUCUUGUCAAAGGAAGAUACGGAAACCUUAAAUCUGUGCAAGAGAAUGAUGGAUAGAGGAGAGUGCCAACCGCUAAUGGUCGUUUUCGAUGGAAGGGUAUAUGUGUAUGUAAUUUAAUGUUCCUGACCAGACAGCAUCGUAUUAGCUUGGAGAUUCUUGGUUAAUCCCUCUUGAUACCCGAAUUGACACAGGUUCACAGUUGAGGCAGAUAGAUUCAUAAAAGACUUGACCAUUGUUACAGAAUAUGUUGGUGAUGUUGACUACUUGGAGAAGCGAGAAAACGAUGGUGGUGACAGCAUGAUGACACUGCUUUCGGCUACCGAUCCGGUUAAAAGCCUCGUCAUAUGCCCUUAUAAGCACGGAAAUGUAGCUCGAUUUAUCAACGGGAUCAACAAUCACACCCCGUAAGUUCAUGGUCGACUAUGGAAACUAUCAAUCAGGCAUACGUCAAAGAGAUUCUUGACACCAUUUAUUCUGAUGCAAUUUGCAGGGAGGGCAAGAGGAAACAGAACCUAAAAUGCGUAAGGUAUGAUGUCGAUGGUGAGUGCCGUGUUUUGCUGAUUGCGAACCGAGAUAUACGGAAGGGAGAGAGACUAUACUACGAUUAUAACGGGUAUGAGCAUGAGUAUCCAACUGAGCACUUUGUUUAAGGCUUGUCCCGCUGAUGAAGCUGAGGUUAAUUAUUAGAAGCUGGUGGCAGAUUAACAGGCUAACUAUACAGCUUUUCCAUUCUCGGUUCACAUUUUCGGCAGACAUAAGUUUGAGUGAGAAGAUAGAAGGAACAUCAUUGAUCAUUUCCUUCUGCUCUAGUCUUGUCGAGACCCAUUUUUGUGGUUACUUUGUAAUUUGAAGUAUCUUUAAUUGAAAACCAUCUAUUUUUCUAGCAAAAACAUAGAUCUAGACUAAUUGAAAACCAUCUACACUGACCAUUUUGGGGUUGAUAACUGAAAGUAUCAUGGGUUUUGUGUAGAGUUGUGUUUGUGAUUCUUUACCAAGUGUAGCUUUGAAGGUUAGAAACGCUUUCCAAGCUUGUCCAUGCUUAUCGGCGACUUACGAUUAGUUGGUCUAGACGAUAUCCACAAUAUCACUCAGCUUUCAUAAUUUUGAGUUGAAAUGAGCAAUGACAUGUGUCCACGACAUCGCUUGGGAAAGAAGAUAUUUGAGAGUUCAGUUGCAGUUGGACUUGCAUGUUCAAGUUCAGCUUAUGCCGGGGAGUGUGAGAUUACACGCAUGGACUUUUCCAAGGUUGCCAAUUUUGUGUGGGAUGUUGGAUUGGAACUGGAGUAUUACAGUUGGAUGUGCUUAUGGCAACCGAACUGUUGAUUACUUAGCUAGCUUAGGAUAUAGUCUAUGUACUGGUAUUUACUAAUUCCUGGUUGGUUAGGAAUGAAAUGUUAGUACUGUCCUUAGUUAGAAACUAGUUGGUUUCUUUAGUUAUAGGAUUUCUGGGUUUGAGAGAAGUUGGGCCAGGGGAAGGUACAACUGGGGUUUGGAAUGAUUUUCACAAUCCAACUGACAGAUGAAUUGACAAUGGCUGUAUUUCAUUUUGUCUUCCUUUGAGAAUUAUAUAUUUACCUUGAGAGUCUCUCUUGGAAACUUGAAUCCUGUGGAUCAGCAGAGCUACUGGGGUGAUUUUACAUCACUUUCUUUCUGCAGCCCACACAGUAAUUUUGCACUAAAGCUAAUGCCAACUUCUUCCCUUCUUUUUCCUGUACAACAACUACUGCUAAAAUGACUGUAGAUGUCGUUGACAAGUAACUCACAUACAAUCAGAGAAAUUGUAAGACGUUUCUUUAAACAUUCAACUAUACAAUGAUUGACCUAGCUAAAACACAGAGAUGUGGUGGUGGCCGGACGGAUACACUGUGACAAAUCAUUCUUGAAUGAUUCCCAGAAGACCAGUUAUGGGCAUUUGUUAUAACUAAUGCCAACGGAGUAAGUCUGUGGUGGGCAGUCCAACCGGUUUCUCUGUUUUUCGCCCCGAUGUAUCAGAAGCCCGAGCUAUCCUUGAAACGAAUACCACUUGCUAGCAAGAAUCCCAAUCCCUCAGUUAUCCUUUCCGAGUGCAAAGUUCUUGUCGAGACCCCCAAGAGAAAUGGAUGUGGGAAUGUAAUGGCUAUAUGGGGCAGCAUCGCUAGUCUCCUAAGGUCCUUCCUCUGCAUCAGUAUCCAUUUCAUCCCACGUUUACUGAUUGGAUUUAUGUCGUAUUUCCUAAUAUACCUUCAAAGCUUUGCUCAAAACUCUGUAACUUUGGUUUGAUGCCUUAAAUGUUCCAAAAAAAAGAAGAGAACAAGUAUUUUUUUUGUUCUUUCGAGUUGCAAGUAAGAGAGAAGUGUCCCCACAUUUAGCAGAACCAGGAAGAGUGGAUGGUUGGAAACUAAAAACUACAUCACAUGUAAUUUUCCACAUUAAUGUCUCUGAGUAACAGAUGAGAUGGAUUGGACAGUGUGAAAGAAAGAAGUUCAUGCAAGGGACUGGUAGGUACUAAGUUGCAUGCAGAUGCAACUAAAAACACUGCCAGUAGUAACACAGCACAGCACAGUAGACACAGACACACACUUUCCUCCCAACCCAAUAAAAGAAAAGAAAAAUUACAUAAUAGAAAGGGAGCGGGAGAAAAAGUGAAAGACAGAAAGCAAACAGAAAAGGGUGUUUUUUCCUUCUCGUCUUCUUUUACCUAUAUUUUUGUUUUUAUCACUUGUCUAUCUAUUCUUUCGUUUUAUUUCUUUUUAUAUAUUUUUCAAGAGUUUCGAGUUUGACAUAUCGUAUCGUUUCUGUUUUUAUUUUUUUUCAGUGUAUUUGUUGGAGUUUUUAUUUUUCAAGAGUUUCUGUUUUUAUGGAAUAUUGCAUCUCAUAAAUGAUAUAAAACAAUAAAUUGAAUGUAAAAAAAAUAGAUUAAAUUCAUUUAUGUUUGUUAAUAGCGAUAAAAUUGAAAAAAUCUUUCUUAAUAUUUAUAUAACAUACUGGUAAAUGUACAUGACACUUACAUAAUAUACUCAUAUGACAUAAUAGUAGCAUAACAUAUUAGUAAAGUUGACAUAAUUAAGGUAUACCAGCUUUCUAAUGUGGACAUAAAAAUGGUAUACAUACACCAACCACUAAGUCAACAUUCAUUUCGAAACAUGAUUAAUUUAUCACAUAAUGUUGGCAUGUCAUACAACGUAACGAUUUAAUUUUUUUCUAAAACAAAUAAUAAAAUAUAUCAAGAUAUAGAGAUUUGUGAAGUGAAUAUUAUGUUUUAAUAAAUCUAUAAAAAGAUAUAGAGAUUUUAACUAAAAUUAGGGGGAUAAUAAAAAAUAAAAGAGAAACUAAUAUAGAAUAUGAAAGAAAAGGAAAUCUAUUCCUUCCUUCACUGCCUUUACUUCCCGCCCAACUAAAUUUCGCUUUUAUUGUUGUUCAAAAUAAGAAUAUUUCAUACUAACUAUACAAACCAUUAGAUCUCCUUUUUUAUUGAUCCGACGAUUAUUAGGUCUAUUCGUCCCAAUAAAUAGAAUCAUAUAUUCACGGAUUAGAAAAAUUGAGCUAAUUAAGCUACACACACACCUCCUUACUGGCCCAUUUGGACCACUCUACUUCUCCACCUUGUUGUCCCUUUCACCCUUCUGCAAACCCUAACUUAUAAGUUCACUCUCAAACUUAAAAGCCCUCAAACCCACGAGGCUACGUACCCUACUCUCCCAGUAAGCCCUACCCCCCCUAACCAACAUUAUUCAGACGACACGGAUGAUCAGAGCACCAACUAUUUCUUCACCUUCUUGCUCCCACUCAACAAUGUCAACCCCUUAUUCUCUUCUCAUUUCACCGUUUCUAAGAUAUAUCAUACAUAGUCCAACUAGCCGGUACACAGGGUCGUACAUUAAGAUAUUAUGUUUCGAAAGCUCAAAAGGUUUCGAAAAAAAUUCAACUUUGUAUAAAACAUUCGCGUUUAAGAUAUUAUAGGGUCGUUCGGUACAUGUUUCUUGAAAUUAUGAGAUUAGAGGAAAUGUGAAAGAUCUUUUUUAAAUCGAAGGAUGUUAGAUUAUUUUGUUUGGUAUGUAUAUUUGUAGGCAAAAUAAUUAGCAUAGAUAGCGGGAUUGAAUGGUGUAUUUUUCAUUUGGAAAAAGAAAAUUUAUACUUUUUUUGUAUAAAUUUUCAAAAUACACAAAACAUGGGCAAUUUAAGAUUCUAAUUUUCUGAAAUAUACAAACUCAACACCAUCAUUUUUUAAACAAACAAGUGCACUUCAUAAUACAAAUUUUGACCAUAAUCUUCAAAAUUCAUAACACUAUCGUUGUCAUGUCGUGACAAGAGUUGAGAAACCUACGAGAACACAAUGCAUGUUGUUAUGAUUGAUUGAGUGGGCAGGACAUCAUCAUUAUUCUUUUUAAACAAUAUAUCUAACUUUUUGGACAUGAUAUGCAGAAUUCAUUAGACAGUCAUAUUACGACGACGACAAGGGUAGAGAAAGAGGGUGACCUAGAGAACACAAUGCAUGUAGUUGUGAUUGAAUGAGGGGGGCAGGGGAGGGGAGGAGGCAUCAAAGCCAGUUGGUGGUGCAGCCCAUUGGCAUCCAUAUCCCCACCCCACACCUCUGCUAAUAACCAAGGAGGGGAAUGUGGUCCUGUCUGUGUGGAAAAUGGACCCUAAAAGUAGUGUACUUCUGUAAUUGGGUGGAUGUUGAGGUCUAGCCCACCAUAUUACUAGUAUUAAUUACCCACAACACAACAAAAUUAAAUUUGUUACCAUCCAAAAUCUCAGAUCCCAAGAGGAAAAAAGGAGGGUAAAGAUUAGUUAAUAAGGCUGCUGCUGUUUGUCCCACUGUUCCUCUGCUGCUGCUAACUGUUAACCACCGGAUUAAAAUUAGUUUUUAUUUGGGGGAUGUAAAGAUGAAUGAAUAGCAGUAGCAGUAGCAGUAGCAGUAGCAGUACUACUAAACUUUCAUCAUGUCUAUAGCUCUUCUUUCUAUUUAACUCAGUGGGUACUUUGUUGGUUGCUUUGGUCCAGCCUUACACUCGAGCAAAUGUUAAUUUUACUAACACAGUAACCCUAUACCAUUGUCAAACAAAUCGAUGGUUUGUAACGAAUUCAUGACUCGGUUUUUCAGUGGGCUCAGUUUUUUCGAGUAACGUACAUACUGUUGAUAUCAAAAACUUCAAAUGGACGUUGAUAAUGUAAGUGCGUUAUCAAGUAAAAACCGAACGCAUCGAAAACUUCGAUAUACCAGAUACACCGAAAAAUCCACCAUUAUUUUGUAAUUUCAAACCGAGAUGGAUACCAAAUAUGAGUACCAUACCAUGUCUUCAUCAGCCUAGCUACUAAAUUGGCACUCCUCUAAAGGGGGAAAGGGUAGCCAUGUUAAGUGGCUUUGCACAUUCCUUGACGUCCCAAAAAUGUGUACAAAAUGGGAGUGAGUGAGUGAGUGGAUUGGAUAUCACUUUCUCCGACCAAGAUAUCCAACGACAUCUUUCACCUUUCACACGUUUUCAAGUGCCUAUACCUAUAUUUACGUGCUAUGUAUGUAUGCAUGCACAUCGAUCAACAAAUUAAAAAAGUCAACUGUUUCACUCUUCUUUACCCAACCAACCAACCAACCAAAUUGUGACUAUUGAAGUACGUCGUACGUGUAUAUGCAACGCACUUAAUUCCGACGUGUUUGCUCUCUUCUAUUAUAUAAAAGAGAGCAAUAAUAUUAUUUACAUAUUAUUUAUUUUUGCACCCACAUUAUAACCAUUGUCGGUUUACAUUUUUGGAUUUAUUUUAUUUUUCUGCAAAUUAUUUUCAACGGCCGGAGCAUACUUACUAUAGCACUUUGUAUAUGCAUAUAUAUGUUUACGACGGUGAAAUGUUAAUUUGUCCGCCAUAUUUUCAGCCAUUAGAUCUGGUAAAGCAUAAUUUUGUAACGACUAAAAUUUAUGAGUACUUUUUAAAUCGAAAUUCAAAAUUCGGUUUAAAUAAAAUGAUUAGCUCAAAGGAUAGGUCGGUUGUCGGCGUUCAUUCAUGACAUAAUUGAAUACGUAUGUAACAAUGUAUGGCAUCGGCUAGGCUAGUGAUUGCUGGAGUCAACAGACACGCAAUACCAUGACUAGAAAUAGUUAAGAAAAUAAAUAAUUAUGUUGACUCUCCAAAACCAAACUAAACUCCCAAUUUUGGUCAUAAUUCUUAUUUAUUUAAUGAUGUCGGCAACCAAUUGUUCCAAAUAUACCCUCUGUCCGGGCUCAGUGGGCUGGCUACUUACCACCUGUACCAAUAAUUCCAUACGAUUCGUAGUAUACAGAGUACGUAUACCGGUAUUUUAAGUACUCGUAUUGAAGGAUUUUUACAUAUAUGUAUUUAAAAAAUUGUAUUUUAAGAAAAAUGUAGUUGUUUAUCCAUUUUAAUUUAAUGAUUUAUUUCUAAUUUAUAAAAUUUUAUGUACUAACAUAAUUAUUUUUGUUUAAUAUGUGGUUAUGGACCUCCACUUAUAUGUGUCCAUCCAUAUUGACAAAAUACUUUAUAGAGAGCACGAUAGAUAUAAAGUUAUUAACACAUUUUACAUUGACGUUAGAUGCAUUUUUUUAUAAAGGCGAUGCUAUAUAUAUAUAUUCAUAAAGAGAUAAAAUAUUUCAACAAAUUUUGUAUACAACAACAAAAAUAAAAAUGGGAAACUUCAAACAAAGACAAACACAAAAAAAGAACAGUACAACAAUCACCAAAAUCUGUCGCAUUAAAAGGACAAAAUGCAGUAGCACCCAAUAAUAACUGCAGUGCACUAGAAGCCGAAAAAUGGACAGCACAACCAAAACCCUAAGGAUUAUAACCACCCGACACACCUGUAAAAACAAUAUAAACUCUAACCAUUAUCGAAAAUAAGACUUAAUAUUACUACCAAAUCCAUACAUAUACUACCAAAACUCUAAGCUCCUGCGUUAUAAUAUGGCAGAUUUUUUAUUUAUUUAGAGAUGAUAUAUAGACUUAAAUUGAUCAUUACUGAUAUACACUAACUAGGUUUUGGAUCAUUUGUCGACUGGCGACCAAGUGACGUACACGUGUUAUUAUUACUGUUGGAAAAAUUGCAACAGUGUGUUCUUCAUCACUGAUGAUAAAAAGGUAAGAUAUAGAGCUUGUGUUCAUGACCUUUAAUUAAUAUGUUUUUAAAACAUAAAAAAAAGAAGAAUUAGUUGGAAGUUAAAUCUUAUGCUUUUAACGAAAUUAACAGUGUUUUAACCUGCAAAUUUCACCUGUGAUGUCUACAUCAGACAUCCAAAGUAAGUUUCGAGACAGAAGAACAAAAACACCCAUUGAUUUGUCCCCCCGUGGCCGUGUGUGUACAUAAAGACAAUUAGUUGUAGGCUAAUGCGUACACAAUGAGUUAGUUCUGGUUGGUGAAACCCAAGUGUGUGUUUUUCUUUUGUUAAUUAAUUAUGCUAAUGGAUAAAGUUGGAUUGUUAGCUGAUUAGGAAACACGGGUACAACUUUUUUGUGAUGUAUGGUCAUUACCAAAGACAUUAACCUAAUUAAUAUGGACUUAAGUGCUUCAGUGUUGAAACUACCUACUCAAGUUUGUCGUGUAACUUUCCUCUUACGAUAAUUAACACCUAUCAUACUUGGGACAACUGCCCAACCAAGUUGGCAUACUAGUCACUUAAUUUCCUAGUCACACCUAUAUUCCAACAUUAGGGCCAAUAGCCAUACAUAACAAUUAUCCGUUCCAAGUUACCCUUACAAAAAUAUAGGGAAAUACAUCCGAAAUAACUUUCGUCGGCCUAUUGAGAGAGCUUUUUUAUUUUGAUUGAAAAAGUGUGUGUAUUGUAUUUGAAAUACACCUAAAAUAACUUUGCAUCCAUACACAUAAAUUUUAAUUUGAAAAGAAUUUCAAAUGUAAAUACAUCUAUCCAAAUACAAUAGGCAAUUUCAAAUCACCUAGAGGGAGUAGAUCAUAUUUCGAAAUAGAUGAGAGAUUUGAAAAAUUUAAUCAAAAUUACCCUUUAUUUUGUCGUUGAUACCUUCAUUAAUAAAUUCGGGUACUGUAGUAUCUUUUUAUUUUUUUUUCCUUUUUUUUCUUUACAAUAAUUAUACUCAAAAUCAUCGGUCCAAACAAUAUAUUUCGAAAAUAACAAACUCCAUCUAAAUCUCUUCUACUUCAAAUCUCUAGUUAUUUCAAAUCACUUAUCCAAACAAUCCUAACGAAAUUAUGCAUGCAUUUACCUAUAUUGAGUUGAGGGUAGAAGUCCGUGUCCACUUUCCUAAAAGAAGAUAUAGCUUUUCAUGUUCUUCUGCAUUGGCUAACUUCCAUCCGCCGUAUUAUUGACGGUUGUUGAACUUGCCGCCAUAUGUAACAGCUAGCUAUCAUUAUUCUCCUCGAGAGUUGCAUGCAUUAUUUUUCCUCUUUGCAGACUUGUGUCUGGUUAAUUAUUGAGCGUUCUGAUUGAUUAUUACUCAUGAUCCUGCAGGGAGCAAAUCUCUUGGAAAGUCGCAACACAAACUAAAGCCCAAUAAUAAUUAGACAUGUCGUAUAGCUACGUCCAGUUUCAACGUACGUGCAUAUAAAAAAGGGAAGCCAACCAUAUAUACCAUCAAAUGCACCUCCCCCUCCCUCAUUUGACUGCAUAACCCACCCUCAUGAGACACACAUUAGCAAUAGAAGAGCCUAUAUGAGAAUUAGGGCCCGGAAUUCCGGCAAAGGGUAAUGCAUUCUAACCGAUAAUCAGACCGGUCAAAUCUAGGUAGCAGAUACUCUGGUGAUUGGAUUGAUGUUUAGAGGGGUGUGGUCACCCAUUUCACUUUGUUAGUUGCUAGUUACCGGAUUUGUUUUUGCCGCGUUUUAUUAAGUAAAAACCUGGAUAUAAUAUGGUCCGCCUGAAUAUAGGCUAUUCGAACACUUUAACCAGUCUGAAAUUGGUUAGUAAUUUUAGUAAUUUGGUUACUCGGAAACCUGGUUUGACUGGUUAGGGUAAUCCGGACCUGGACCGAAUCCCAAACCUAUGAGAAAAAUGCUCAACACAUAGUUUGAUUGAAAAAUAAAAAGAAAUUGGAAAGAGGUAUUUCCGAGAACAUAAUUCCAUGGGCAUAAUAAACACAGGGUGAGCCCAUGCCCUAAUAAUUUAGGUGGUCAGGAAGAAGAGACAGGUCUUCAUCGGCUAAAUAGUGUCACCUCCGACAUAUACAUCAGAAUUCCCGAGUCACUUGUAAAGUAUCAAUCCAUCACAAGGAUAUCAAGUUUUGCCCAUAUAGGAUCAUAUUUAACGUUGUCACUCUCAUUUUUUUUAACCUCGAUUAAAUAAACUCCCGUUUACGUCAAACAUUAAAUUGGUGUCACUUGAUUUGGAACCAUUAUGUCGUGUAUAGAGUUUAGAAUACGUUCAAAAUGCAGGGUGUUGAGAUGUCUUGGGCUAAUUUGGUUUGGAAACCCCCUAUCAUCAGAAAGCAUAGAUUCAUUAUUUGGUUGGCAAUUCAGGAUUGCCUUUUUACUCGAUUAAAGAUGGAUGAUUGGGGUAUAAGUUUGGAUGUCUCGUGUCUUUUGUAUGAGGAUGGAAUGGAUGACAUCGAUCAUAUUUUCUAUAAUUGCCCGUUCAUUUUCCAGAUUCACAGAUUUUGUUUUGGACAUAAUCUUGCUUUUGCAUCAAGUUGGGAGGGUGAUAUUGAUAAUCUUGCAGAUUCUUAUUUAAGGGGUUUUUCUGAAGCUGGCUCCUUUCGUCUAACUUGGAGAGCCAUGAUUGUUGUUGUGUGAUAUGAACGGUGUAAAAGAAAUGCUUAUGAGAAAGCUUCCUCUCCUUUUAUCAUUGCUCAUAAUAUUUGUAGGGAUACUCUUAGAAGUGUUAGAGUUGUGUUUGUUGGUUUGUAGUUGAAUAGGUUCUGUCUUGUGGCCUUGUUGGGUGGAUGAGCUGCUUUGAUUUUUCUGUUUUGGAUAAAUAAAAAGUACUAUUCAUCUAUAAAAAAAUUUGAUGUCACAUAAUUAGUUAAAUAUAAAAGAUUAAAAUAAAUUAGAAGAAGUUUACCUAACUUAAAAGAGUAUUCAGAGAGUAUAUCAAACUAAAUUAAUAUGAGAACUUUGGGAAGGAUAAAAUAAAUUUAAUGUGGACUUAACCCAAAACAGAUAAUAUCAUAUAAGUUAGAAGGGUUGUUGGUAAUAAUCCAAUGAAAAACCGAUUAGGUGCUUGCAAACUACUUAACGGUUUGAAAAGUAGGGUCAGUUUAUACACGUUAUGGGAAAGGAGGGUCAGUUUCUUCAACAUAUACUAACUUUUGAUGACUAUAAAUGGAAGAUAAAAACGACUGAGCUAAGAAUUAGAAACAAACACAAAUCGACACUCCUUGUCAAGGUUUUAUUUUUUAUUUGUAAUUUUAUCUAUAUUCUUUUUUUUUUUACAAAUUUUAAUCACAAUCGUAGAUUUUGGAGCACUUAUUGAACAUCCAUAUGAAUAGGGAAUGUACGUAUAAUUAACAGAACGUUAAUUUUUAAAUAAACCAUAAAAAAUAAAUAAUAAUGUGAUUUCCAGUUGAACCAUAAAUAAAAAAUGCAUUUUUAAACUUACCGAUUUACCCAUUAUGGUUCAAAAACCAUGAUAAUUAGUGGCGGCAUAUUAGUUUUUAUUUUUCCGAACAGGCCUGCUCAUAUUAUUCAGCCACACCCAGAGAGGGCCCACCCAUAACCAGUAAGGAAUCGCAACAUGAUCGUCGUGCUCUAACAUCAGCGAACUCGUUCUUUUCUCUCCUAACAACAAAAUCUCAAAUCUCAAAUUACGAUCAAGAACCUCCGUGUUAUAAGCUAGCACACCUCCUCGAACAACUUGCACCGCUGUUAAUGCAUUCGUUUCCACCGUCCCCUGUAUCAUAUCCUUCUGCUUUCCCAACGCAGAGCUCAUCUACACACAGCUCAUGUAGCUCAUCAACUAUCGGUGUAGUUUCCACUCGGAAGUAGGCAUUAUUCAUCAUAUAGCCAUGGGUGGUAUUCCCUCGGUGUUUGUAAGAGCAUCAUCGUCAAUAAAAUUUUCAUAAACUGCAAAAUGAGGUAGAAUUCGAUAAAAAUGACAUUUAAUCUCACAUUAUUGUUCUCAUUGAUUACAUAUGAUUGUAUGUAUAAAUCAAUGAAGAGAGAUAAUGUGAGUUUAAGUGUCGUCCUUACUAGACCCAAUAUGGCCAUUUUUUUAUAUAAAUAUGAGAUGAAUAUUUUUAAGUGCAAAUUUAUAAUUGUUAUAAUUGAAAAUAAUAAUUUUAUUUGAGGCCACUUAUCUCAUAUAAUAUUUUUAAAGUCCACUUUAUCUCUUAUUUUUAUUUAUUUUAUAUAUGUCGAUCUCAUUUUUGCAAUUAAAUUUGCUUUGCAUGAAUGGAAAUGAUAUAAAAGUCGACUCCAAGUGAUAUUAAAAAUAUAACUUUUAAAAUUACAUAUGCUCUUAAAAGAAAAAAAUAUGAAAGUGAAUAAUGUAAAAUUAUAUUAAAAAAAUGAUGACAUGGCACUGUGACUCUAUGAGCCCUUUUGCCGUCGGAGAUCAAUUGCAUUACUGUGGAUGGUGCAAUUUUAAAAAAACAAAGGAUANNNNNNNNNNNNNNNNNNNNNNNNNNNNNNNNNNNNNNNNNNNNNNNNNNNNNNNNNNNNNNNNNNNNNNNNNNNNNNNNNNNNNNNNNNNNNNNNNNNNNNNNNNNNNNNNNNUAAUAUAUAAAUAAUUAGAAGAAAAAAAAGAGAAAAAGUUGUGGGUUGCGUUCCAUUUGGGUGCGUGUCGCUGGGCGACUGUUUAUACAGAAGAAUAGAGAGAAAGAAAGAAAGGACGCAUUACCCAUUUUUCUUUAGCCCAUGAAAACGAUCGUCUGGAAAUGAUCUGGCCGUCCGAUCACGAAUAUCAAGGACACAUAAUUUAUACUCCUAAUUAAUUAAUUAAUUAAAACAAACCCAAUAUUAUUCCUUUUCUUGUUUUACUCUCUGUUACCAAUUUUAUUUUUUAUUUUUUUUAUAUAAUCAAUUUGCAUGUAUAUAUUUUUGGUAAAUUAUUUUCUGCUAAUACUACAAACCCCACCCUUGUUUCCUUCCUUUCUCCCCCCCUCCUUUCUUCUUCUUCUUCUUCUUCCUUCUUCUUUUNNNNNNNNNNNNNNNNNNNNNNNNNNNNNNNNNNNNNNNNNNNNNNNNNNNNNNNNNNNNNNGUUCAUAGCCUCUGGUUUUCUGGUUCCGGGUGUUUUUUUCUCUCCAGAGGAAGAAGAGAGAGAGAGAGAGGGAGAGAUAAAAGGACAAGGCUGUGGGGUUUCCAGAGAAAAGAAAGAAAUUGUUUAUGGAUGCUUCGAUCUGUGCCUCCUCCUUCUUCUUCUUCUUCUUUUUCUUCUUCAGUCUCAAAGAUGCCACCUAGAGUGCCUCAUGAUACAUACCCAUGUAAGAACACCAGAAAGUUUUACAAAAAAACGAAAAGUGAAUGAGGAAUUUUGUUUCCUCCUUCUGAAAAUUUCAACAUCCGAAUAAGAAUUACGAAACGAAGCAUUUCCUCUUCUCUCUCGUGUUCAUUCAUUUGAAUUCCUUACUUUCUCAGCCCGUUUCCUCUUUUGCCUGUCUGUUUUUUCCCCCAGGAGGGUUUUGGAUUCAAUUUCUUGAAUGGGUUUCUUAAAAUGCAAUCAUCUGAUCUCGCAAUCCUCGCUCCUCUCUGUUUUCGCAGAUUGGCAUUGUUUUAUGAAAAUCAUAUUAUAAUGAAAAAGAAUGUUCGUCAAAUUGCAGAAUGGGUGAAAGAGAAUUGGGGAUUUAUGUUGGAUCUCGUGAUGUGUAUUUUUAUAAGUUGUUUACUCCAUACGCAUGUCCUUUAAAUCUAAUAUACUUGCUGGAAGCCGCUCUUGAAUUUUGUGUUUGGAUAUCGUUGUUUCUUACAUUCCCCCCCUGCAUUUUUCUCUUCUCAGUUCCUUGGGAUUGCUUCGUUUCUGGGCGAUUUUCUAUGUUAGCUCUGGGUUUCUGGAUGGAUUGAACAUUCGUCAAUUUAGGGACAAUGUGUAGCUUGAGCGAAGAAGAAGUUGGGUUCUUUGAUGCAGCUGACGACAUUGCAUCGACAAAUGACACAUUGGAUAAUAAUUCAGCUGCCACUAGUCCUCAUUAUGAUCUCUGGGUUGACGUCCCCAAAAGUGUGGAGGAAAGGCGAAACAGGUUCUUCAAAUGGAUGGAGGUAGGUUCAUCUCCAAGUCGUCCUGGAGAGGAUUUGAUGGAAAGUGGUGGGGUUAGUAGUAGAGUUACUGAAAGCAGUGGUGCUGUGUUGAGAAACGAACCCGACUUUUGCUCGACAAGGUCUCCGAAGCUAAGUUGGUCCUACGAUAGUUCAGGCGAAGAGUUCUUGGACAGAGAUGGUGGAGAGAUGACAUCUAAUGUAGAGUAUCAACAUGGGAGGAUUAGUGAAAGUCGUAGACUUUACUCAUGUCCAGCUCGAACUUGGGAGUCUAUGAAUAUUUCUGGCUCAUUAUCCCCUUCAGUUCAGCAAAAUGCCACAAAGACGGGUAAAAAACGGUGGCUGAGCAGAUUGCGGUCCAUGGCGUGUGCUGUAGAUGUCAGAACCGAUGCCAAAAGGUUAAACCACGCGGUGGAUGAUUCGCUUUUGUACAGAGUACACAGGGUGAAAGUUCGUCAAUCGGGGAAGCGGAUAAAGGAGCUUUCAGCUCUGUACAGUGGGCAAGAUAUCCAAGCUCACAGGGGCUCCAUUUUGACAAUGAAGUUCAGUCCAGAUGGGCAUUACCUGGCUAGUGCUGGCGAAGAUGGAGUGGUGCGUGUGUGGCAAAUCGUUGAGGACGAUCGAUCAAUUGAACGUGACAUUCCAGAAAUAGAUCCUUCCUGUGUUUACUUCACCGUGAACCAUUUGUCUGAGCUGAAACCACUCAUCAGUAACAGAGAAAAGACGGCUAAAUUGAGGAGUCUGAGGAAAACAUCAGAUUCAUCUUGUGUUAUUUUCCCUCCCAAGGUUUUCCGAAUAAUGGAGGAACCAUUGCAUGAGUUCCUUGGACACGGUGGUGAUAUCUUGGACAUAUCAUGGUCCAAGGAUAAUGUAAGUCCAUUUACAAAGUAACUGGAAUUCAUAUGCAAAAUAUUUUCUUUUAACUGUUAUCAUGUUUGUACUUUGAUUUUCUGCAGCAUUUACUGUCGGCAUCGGUUGACAAAACUGUCCGUCUCUGGCAAGUAGGAUGCAAUCAAUGCCUUGGAAUCUACCCACAUAGCAACUAUGGUGCGAUUUAGGCCUAAAAUUUCCUUUCACCUUCACAAAAUUUUCCUCAUGUAUAAUGAUGCCAAGGUUAUAUUUUGUAUGGGAAAUGAUUCUUAAUUUGUUUGUGCUAUCUAUCUGUUACUUUCUUUUUCAAGAGAUACGACUGUCACUUUCCUUUGCUUAUUUUUGGGUUUUGUGGCACAGUUACUUGUGUUCAUUUCAACCCCGCCGAUGAUCAAUUUUCCAUCUUUCUGAUUGAAAGUUUCUUCCUGAAUAUGCAGGGAUUGGUGGUUGGCUCCAUGACAGGCACUUGCCGCUUUUAUAGCCGGUCAGGUAUGUUAAUGGAAAAUUGAACGGUUAUUUACAUAGCGAAGAUCUAGAGUGCCUGUGGAAUUACAGAAUAAGAUCUGAUGGUUAAAUUAGGCAUGCCGAUUAACAAAGGUUUGUCUUUUCGAUGCUCCAGGUAGUCAAUUGCAGUUAGAUGCCCAAGUAAGUUUAAGCAACAAAAAGAAGUCGCCUGGAAAAAGAGUAACUGGCUUUGAGGUAAUGAUUUAUCCGCAUCAUGAUUAUGUUUGAUGUUUGAUCUUUCUGCAAAUCCUAUAUCACCUAAUCACACUCAUUACUCUCCAGUUUUCCCCACAAGAUUCGAGCAAAGUGAUGGUGACCUGUGCUGAUUCGCACGUUAGAAUAUUGAAAGGGCUUCACAUAAUUGCCAAAUACAAGGGUACGCCAAAAUCUUCAAUCCAAUGCUUAAAUUGUGGUUGUUUUGUUACAUGGAUCAGUUCAAAGCUAGGGCUUUUCUUUGUACACAAUGAAAGUUGAUAAAUUACCAUCCGAUUUUGUUUCCAGGCUUGAAGAACACUGCAAACUACGUAACUGCUCGUUUUACUUCGGACGGAAGGCAUAUAAUAUCAGCCUGUGAAGAUUCCAAUGUGUACAUGUGGGAUAGUUAUGGCCUAGAAGAAUCGUCAUCAUUCAAUGCUAAGAACAUCAAGUCUUGUGAGAGGUUCUCUGUUGAUGCAUCUGUUUCAUUACCUUGGUCUGGCUUCAAGCAUUUUGAGAACUCAGAAAACGGGCAUGGUGUGCCGCCUUUCCCUCGUGAUAGUAGUACCAUAGGGACAACCUUUCCUUUUUCCUCUUCACCUGCCAGUUUCAAUUUGGGUCAAGAAUACUUCCUCGAGUCUUACCCCAAGGGUUCUGCAACUUGGCCAGAGGAAAAGCUUCCAAGAACAAGCUCGUCAACCUCCUCGCCAUUGUCGAUCCAUAAAUCUCAGUACAAGUUUCUGAAAACAUCAUGUCAGAGCAGUGCAGGUUCUCAUGCAUGGGGUCUGGUCAUUGUCACAGCAGGCUGGGACGGUAGAAUUCGAUCGUUCCAUAAUUACGGUCUGCCCGUUCCUGUCUAAGAUACUUUUGUAGGAGGAUCAACGUUGUUCUUUUUCCCACCUCUCCCUUGUCCAUGAAGAGAUGCAGAGUGAGUGCAGGAGAUAAGGAGGAGUGGAGAGGGCAGUCUGAGAAUAUUCUGCCUCCCUCAUACAUAAUGGUGGUGGUAAUGGGACAGCAGCAAGAAAAAAAGAGGAUGAGGGUAUCGAAAAACCUGGUGGCUGUAGUUUGAUUUAAGAGAAAAGAACAAGUAUUUGUCUGCCAUUUUCAAGGUAGGGUCCCAGUUCUCACCUGGUUAUUUAGUAAUGUUAUUCAUCUUAAUGGAAAAAGAAGCAUAAUGAUGGAAAGUUGAUAGAGCCAGUUUGAUUGUGAUUGUGGCUGUCCCUGGAGUUUUGAAUGUACAUGUUAUCCCAAACCAGCAGUGCCUUUGCACCUCUUGGAGUAGAAUUUUAGCCUAAAAACGUUAUGUUCCUCUGGAGAAAAUUGCCUCUCCCUCUUUUAUUUUAUUUUAUUUUGAUGGCAGAAGAGAGUACUUUGGUGUUACUGUAAAUCAGUCGGAAAGGAGAAGAUACAAAGAAAAGAAAGAGGUGAAAAGAUGUGUCAUACUUGUGGAUGAUUCCAUCUAUUUCUAGUUUUUUUUUUCCUUCUCUUUUAGUAUUAUAAAAAUACAGAUGUGUCAUUUACAACAGGGAAAGGAUGAUGAGCAGUUAUCUUUUCUGGGUUGUGUCCAGGUUUUGUGACAGAGGUAAGAAAAUGGAUAGGAAUACUGGGGGGCCAUUAUUGAAAGAUAUAUAGAUAGAUGAUAAUGAUGUUGAUGAUGAUGAUGAUGACACUUCUCAGAGUUUCACAUGCAAAAUUAAUACACAGUGCAGAUGCAGAGACGGAGCAAAUAUGAUUCCAAGCUUAGUUAGGAAGGAGGCAUCCAUCCUACAGCUCAUUCAAAUCAUCAAUAUCACAUUUAAUUAACUGGCAGCCAUGCUACUAUCAAGGAUUUUUGCUUUGGAUUCUUCUUGCUUGGAGCAGCACGAACGUACCAAAAUCACAGAUAAUAAAACCAACUAGUCAGUUGAGAUUAGCAGAGAUCUUUUCUUUGCUUUGUUUUGCUUUACACACAUGGCAAUUAUGAUGCUCUUCAAUCAUUUUCUUAUAACUAGCCAUUCUUUUAGAAAGGAUUAUUCAACAUAACUCAAUUAUGCACCUUUAUGCCUCAUGUUGGCAUCAUCUUUUCAACUUUAUUUUAUCUCAUGAUUCACCUAAUACUCCAUUCAAAGUAGUACUCGUUAAGUUAUACACCGUAUUUUUUUAAUUUUCGUUCAUAAAAAGGUUUAUGUUUUUGCACAAAUUAUCGCCGUUCAAAUGUCUCCCACUAACAAAUUUUGUAAAGAGUCAACAGAGUCGUGUAUGAAAAUUAUACAAAUUUAUAAUAGCGGGUGAUUCAAGUCAAAAUAUGUUUUGAUCACUCGAAAACAAUUUUUUCUAUAAUGAUAAUGUUAGAAAUCGACAGACAAUAAAGAUAAAUAAAAACUAGAUCAAAACGAGCUACACAAACAAUUUUAUAUGGAAACUUCAUGCUAAAAAAAUCAGGAAUGAAAGCUCCACUAUGAUCAAAGAAUGACAAUGAAUAGGAACUUACAACAACUCAUAUGUCUCGUACGACUAAACUAAAUUAAAACCCAAAUUGAAUAGUACAAUUUGUCCGGCCGCUUUGACACAAGUGAAUUGGAUUGCCAAACUUCAUUUCUAGAAAUUUGAACAAAAAAACAGGACAUCAAUGUUCACCAACCUCUACGAGGUAAUUUACAAGACAAAAAAAAGUGAAAACGAUUAAUCAAUUGAAAGUAUGAUGAUGAUGAUGGUGAGUGAAGGGGGGGAGGUUCCUAAAUUAGGAGACAGAAAAGAAGCAAGAUGAUUGGUAAAUGAGGGACAAAAACAAAGUAUCAUUGUACUAGUUGUCACCCUUAGCUAAUAAGACAUUACGUUGAAAAUUACACAACUUGGGGGGGUGUUUCUAUGGUCCCAAAGGAAGUGUUUAUAAUUAGGCAAAAAAUCAGAUUAGGACAAAACUAAAGCAUAUAUAUGAAAGAUAGAUAGACAGAUGCAGAUGAUGCAGAUGCAGAUGAUGCAGAGUUAUAUAUUAUGAUGCCGAUGCCAUGUUACAGACAAGAAAACAAACAUCUAAUUUGGACAACUAAUGAAUGCUUUCGGUCUCUUAACUUCACUUGCUUGGAUUAACCGAUGUGUGUUUUUGUUUGGUAACUGGUUUGGUGUUUGUUGUUCGUACAUUUCUUGGUUGCUGCAGCUGUUUGGAAUUUUGCAUUACCCAUCCAUCCAUCUCCAGAUGGCAUUUAGAAACAUGUUUUCGUACUUUACAAUGCACACCAGAAUCACCCCAACUGUAGAAGUGGAUAACCAUAGGAUUCAGUAUACAGAUAAUUUAAUUAGAACUUGUUUCAAUGUUGGGCAAUUUUUUCGUGCAAUUUUUGUGUUCUUGAGGGAGUGCUCUUGAUUCUUAAUAUUUGUAUUCCAUGCAAAAAAAUAUGGGCUUCUCAAUGAGAUACAGGCUUCAUAAAUGGCGAGUUCUUUUGAACUAACUCACUAGUCGAUGAGGAGUUGAAUGCAGCCUAACGUUUUGCCUCGAUGGCAUAUGUUUCCAGGAGCUGUUUCCUUCUUUCGCAUCUGAAGCAGAAUGUGACACAGACAAUUACAUUAGCUACUACUUACAAGUCAACAGUCGUUUCAUUCAAGUCCGCUAAACAGAAGACCACUGGCUUCAUCAUGUGGUGCAAGACCACUCCUCACAGCUUCAUGCAAUUGUCAGUUUGCAAUCACUAGACGCCCUACCCCUGCGGAUAUCAGUGCCCACUUCAGGAUAUGCUACUAUAUGCUCAUGAGCUAGUUUAAAGCAAAGCGUUUCAUACUAUAAUAAUAUCAUGAUUGCCGGUACAGAAAAGAACACAUAACGAUACAAGUGAUUGUUGACCCUUAAAAUCGCCAUCCACCGACCUGCAAGUUUUGUGUCCUAUAACAUGGCAGAACCAGUUGAGACGUCAAACCCAGGAGGGAUAAAAACAACAUCAUUCCACGCCGAUGUUUCCUGCAACAGUCAAAACAACAGCAAAAAUAGUACAUAUAGUAGGUUAGUAACAAUAGAAUUCGCAUGAAGCUUUGUCAGAUGCCAGGCUCAACCAGUCAACCUUGUCUUUGUUUUUCAUCAGCCACUACUUUCAAACAUCUCAGACAAACAAGGCUCAAAGAUUUUACCUGCAUGGACUUAAUUACGUCUUCAAACACAGCCACCUACAGAAAAGAAAAUCUGGGUAUUCAACAGGGUGAACUUUAAAGUAAAAAAACAACUCCAGAAUCAAAAUCUAUAGAUACCUCAAUGCCCCCUUCUUUUAAAGCAGGAUUUAGUUUCUUCUGAUCUUGUGAAGCACGUAAUAGUGAUUUCUCUAAAUCCUCCUAAGAUAUUGACCAAAAAGUUAUUGAUGAAAAAUGUCAAGGCAUUAGAUCACAGAACAAAAAUGAAGAAAGAAAGAAAGAGAUUAGUGUCUGUGGAGCAGGUCAGCACUCCCUAACUAACCUUUCUAAAGAACACUGGCCGAUAGCUCUUGUUUUUGCUUCUCAACACCAGACUCGUUGACUGGAAUACAAACACGUGAAAUGACUAUGAGAAAAUAGUUGAAGUAUGGAAAAUGAGCAGAAGCAUGAACUUAUGAGUGAAUGAAACAUGAAAUUUCUUACAAGCGCCUUGCCUUUAAAUGUACAAAUUCCAAUAUAUACACGGAUAAUUUGUGCAAUAGGAAUGCCAGUUGGCCUUAUUGAUUAAAUUUUCUAGUAUGUUCUACACUAACAUCGUGGCGUUCAGUUUCAGUCCAACCUACACCAUAACAUCAGGAGCUCCCAAAUGGCUAUAAGUUCCUUAGGGGAAAAAACAAUCCAAAGAAUUGAAGUAAUAAGAGACUAGAUAUACAUCAUAGCAGUAAGAGUAACUGUUAUAGCGAGCUUUUGCUUUAGUACUGUUCGCACAAGGCGGAAUACACAAAAAUUACAACAUACAUAGUGAAUUUAUUAGAGUAUCACAUAAUGGUAAAUGAAUCUGGUACCUGGAAAACUGGAACUCCAGGGAACCCGUCAUCAGAAACCCCAGCAUUUUUCAGCUCCUACAUGUGAUUGGGAGAAAGUAAGCAACUUUGAUGAAUGCAGAUAUUAAUGGUUAAACUGAAGUACGCCAGAAAAAAGAUAGAUACUUGUACAAAUGAAUGACAUUAAUUACAAUUGUCACGAGUUUUUUUAUUAGCACUUGUGUUCGGUAAAAGCACUCCAUAGGUUAGUUAGACUAUGCUCAUUGGUGUAUGAAACUGAUAAUCAGGUACCCAUGAAACAGGAACUGUUACUACAGGAAUUAAGUAGCUCACGAAGUCCCAAAGAAAAACAAUGGCUAAUAAUGAUGGGCAACAACAUGCAGAAAAGAAAAAACGAGCCUCACUGAUUUGUAAAACCUGCUCAUAAGGCAAACUCGCACUAUGACAUUGAAGCUGGUAGUAAAGAGGAGGCAUAGGAUGUCCCAUAUCUUUCAAGACACACCAUUUGGAGAAUCAAAGCUGCGAAGUUCAAAUAAGAGAAACAUAUAGACGUUUAACAAAAGUCUACUUUUGUGGUCACAGCAGAGCGUUAAAUUUCUUGACCAACUAUGCAAUGCGUUUGUUCUUUCUUAAGCUAUGCGGACUCUACAGUUACCGAUCAUCCAUACAAGUCCAUCCAGAGCGUUAAAUUUCUUGACUGAGGACAAAGUUCAAACUACUUGAGAUUUGAGAACACUAUAAAUUAUGUAAAAGUUGCACACAGGUUUGAAGCUUAAACCACAUUAUCGUUCACUCACAUCACUCAUCAAUCAAUGGACAGAUAGCAGUGCAAUAAGUAAGAUGAAAGCAGGCCACUAUCCAGAUACAAGUUUGAAUUUCAAAGCAACAAAAACACAAAUCUAUGAUCUUUAGAAUUGCGAAUAUUUCACCAAUAGUAACACUUACGUUAAGUGCGUUCUUGACUUGAGCAUACUCAGGUAUCAACCUGAAGGAAACCCCAUCGACUUUUAGUUGAAAAACCUGCCAGUUAGUCAACGCAAAGUUAAAACAAAGAGGGACACAAUUGUUUAUUAGGGUUGGGCGAAAUCGGAUUGAAGAGCAACUGGGGAGCAAGCAAACCUUGUUCAAAGCAACAGCAACAACUUUGGAGCCACCGCUCCGCAUGAGAGGGUCCAUGCUCUUCAUCUGGAGAAGGAGAGUAUCGGCGUCCUCUUUCUUGAAGCACAUCAGUCCGAGAGACUUGGGAGUGGAAGAAGAAACUCCGGAGACGAGAACGAACUCAUCACGGGAGUUGCUGAGGGCAUAAACCGGUACGCCUGCCAACCGAGCCUCGAUGGCUUGAGAGGUCAAAGGAGGAGGAGUGGUGGCGGAGGGAGGUUUGGAGAGUUGGAGAAGAGACGGGUCAGAGGGAAUCCGAGCCCAGAGAGGGCGAGAUUGAGAACUGGUAAGCAAUUGGGAAUGGAGGUGGGUUUGAAAAGAAGAGAUGGCGUUGGGAUUGAAGAGAGGGAGCUGGGAGAAGUUGUUAAGGAAGGCGGAGUAAUGGGUUUGGAGCUUGGAGAAGGCAUCCCGGAGGUCCAGUUCUACUAGGUGGCGACGCCGUUGGUCGGAGGAACUAGUCAUUUUUGCAGGAGGAAGGAGCAGCUAUAAUUUGGCGGCAGAAGACGAAGAAGAAGGAGUGUUCUAGUGGCAGCGCCGGCAUGGGGUUUAAGAGGCAUUUCGGAUUUGAGCUCAGGAUUUAGACUUUAGCGGGCCUCAACCCUGGGCUACAGACGAACAUGGCCCGCUUCACAAUGGCCACUUGGCCAAGUUCUUAUCUAAGACUCUAACGAAGCUGCGUGUUUGCUGAACUAUGUUGUUACGAAUAUGCACCGGGCGGGUGGGCGUACUCCUUACGGAAUGUCACCUCCAUUCUCUCUACCAUAUGCUUUUGGUCUCCAUCUACCAUAUUUUUUAUUGGUUCAUGAAUUUGUUCGUUAUUUUAAUCCUUGUAAUUGUUUAUUAAAUUAUAACUAAAUUUUCGUAACGCACGUUACUGCUUACCAUAGUUAAUGUGUAGUAUACAUUUUCUCACCCGUAUACUAAAAUAAUUUAUAAACAAUAAAACAUGAUAUUUUGUUUGAUAUGAUCAAGUACACAUACACUAACUUAACUUUUAGCUACAUGGUGCAAUAUAUUAUCAAAACAUCACAAAAUACAUACACUCCAAGUUGUCGUUAGCUUAACAACGCAUACUAAAAUAUGCUAUUAAACUUUAUAUCUAACUUGAAAUCCUAAAUUGCCGUCAAUUUAACAAUGGAUCUAAAAAAUUUGCUAUUAAACCGUUCAGAAAAAUUAAAAUAUUUAAAAUUUCACUCCCUCUUUCUUUCUCCCUUUCUCCAAAAUUUAAGUUACUUUUUUAUUUUUUUCAAAAAUUUGAAAUUUUUGCUCCCUUAUUUCUAUUCCUUCCAUCUCCUUCAUUUUCAUUCUUCUUCAUUUAUGUGUUUGAUGGACAUAAAAAUAAUUAAAAAUUAAAAAUUAACGAAGAAAAAUAAAAAUAAAAAGAAGACAAAAAAAGAAGAAUCAAAGGAGAAAAUUGUAGCUUCAACCUUCACCAAAAGAGGAGGUCAUAAUUAGACGACUUUUCGAAAAAAACGAUGAGUNNNNNNNNNNNNNNNNNNNNNNNNNNNNNNNNNNNNNNNNNNNNNNNNNNNNNNNNNNNNNNNNNNNNNNNNNNNNNNNNNNNNNNNNNNNNNNNNNNNNNNNNNNNNNNNNNNNNNNNNNNNNNNNNNNNNNNNNNNNNNNNNNNNNNNNNNNNNNNNNNNNNNNNNNNNNNNNNNNNNNNNNNNNNNNNNNNNNNNNNNNNNNNNNNNNNNNNNNNNNNNNNNNNNNNNNNNNNNNNNNNNNNNNNNNNNNNNNNNNNNNNNNNNNNNNNNNNNNNNNNNNNNNNNNNNNNNNNNNNNNNNNNNNNNNNNNNNNNNNNNNNNNNNNNNNNNNNNNNNNNNNNNNNNNNNNNNNNNNNNNNNNNNNNNNNNNNNNNNNNNNNNNNNNNNNNNNNNNNNNNNNNNNNNNNNNNNNNNNNNNNNNNNNNNNNNNNNNNNNNNNNNNNNNNNNNNNNNNNNNNNNNNNNNNNNNNNNNNNNNNNNNNNNNNNNNNNNNNNNNNNNNNNNNNNNNNNNNNNNNNNNNNNNNNNNNNNNNNNNNNNNNNNNNNNNNNNNNNNNNNNNNNNNNNNNNNNNNNNNNNNNNNNNNNNNNNNNNNNNNNNNNNNNNNNNNNNNNNNNNNNNNNNNNNNNNNNNNNNNNNNNNNNNNNNNNNNNNNNNNNNNNNNNNNNNNNNNNNNNNNNNNNNNNNNNNNNNNNNNNNNNNNNNNNNNNNNNNNNNNNNNNNNNNNNNNNNNNNNNNNNNNNNNNNNNNNNNNNNNNNNNNNNNNNNNNNNNNNNNNNNNNNNNNNNNNNNNNNNNNNNNNNNNNNNNNNNNNNNNNNNNNNNNNNNNNNNNNNNNNNNNNNNNNNNNNNNNNNNNNNNNNNNNNNNNNNNNNNNNNNNNNNNNNNNNNNNNNNNNNNNNNNNNNNNNNNNNNNNNNNNNNNNNNNNNNNNNNNNNNNNNNNNNNNNNNNNNNNNNNNNNNNNNNNNNNNNNNNNNNNNNNNNNNNNNNNNNNNNNNNNNNNNNNNNNNNNNNNNNNNNNNNNNNNNNNNNNNNNNNNNNNNNNNNNNNNNNNNNNNNNNNNNNNNNNNNNNNNNNNNNNNNNNNNNNNNNNNNNNNNNNNNNNNNNNNNNNNNNNNNNNNNNNNNNNNNNNNNNNNNNNNNNNNNNNNNNNNNNNNNNNNNNNNNNNNNNNNNNNNNNNNNNNNNNNNNNNNNNNNNNNNNNNNNNNNNNNNNNNNNNNNNNNNNNNNNNNNNNNNNNNNNNNNNNNNNNNNNNNNNNNNNNNNNNNNNNNNNNNNNNNNNNNNNNNNNNNNNNNNNNNNNNNNNNNNNNNNNNNNNNNNNNNNNNNNNNNNNNNNNNNNNNNNNNNNNNNNNNNNNNNNNNNNNNNNNNNNNNNNNNNNNNNNNNNNNNNNNNNNNNNNNNNNNNNNNNNNNNNNNNNNNNNNNNNNNNNNNNNNUAAUGUGAGGACAACGAUCGCAAAUCAAUCUCGCUAUCGCAGUAGGAAGGGGACGACAGCAAUCAAUGUUUUAGGAGUCAUCAACCAAAACUUACAAUGGAUAUACUUACUCGCUGGAUGGGAAGGAUCGGCACAUGAUAGUAGGGUAUUGCGAGAUGCCCUAUCUCGUCCAGGAGGCUUUAGAGUACCCGAAGGUGAACAAUAUAAUUAACUUCCAUAAACAAUAUUUUGCUAAUUCUAUAUCAUUUGAUGAUUAUCUUAUGAAUGCAAUGUAUUUAACUUCCCUAAACAAUAUUUUGUAGGGAAGUACUACCUAUGUGAUGCCGGAUAUACAAACGCUAGAGGAUUCCUUACCCCGUUUCGUGGGCCACGAUACCACCUCCAAGAAUGGGGUAGAAAUCGCCCAAGGAAUGCUGAAGCAUAUUUCAACAUGAAACAUGCAAGUGCCAGAAACGUGAUUGAACGAGGUUUUGGGGUGUUGAAGAUGAGAUGGGCACUACUACGAGAUACUUCUUGGUAUUCUCCGAAAAUGGUUGGACUUUUUUUACAGCAUGUUGCCUACUUCACAAUUUCAUAAUGCAGAAUGGAGGGGCAGAUGUAUUCACCAUGGCAUAUACACCUACAGAAGUCAAAGAACCAACCAUGGAGGCAAACGAUGACAUCCCUGGGGGUGUGCAGACCACUGCUAAAUGGACUCAAUUCAGACAAGACCUUGCUCAACAUAUGUGGGCUAAUAGGGGGCGUUAAAAACUAUCGAGUUGUCUCGUCACUUGCUUAGAACAUCAUAAGUUAAUCUAUUAUGUAUUUGUAUUGCUUACUCUUUAUGGUUAAGCUCUGAAUCAUGUGCAAUGGAUGAACAUAUCAGUUCAGUUCACACCAUAGCUUUUGUUUUGCUUGUUUGUUUGUAUAUUGGAGAUAUUAUGGUGUUGGAGCUUUCAUUCAUGCUUGCUGCACUUCUAAUAUUAGAUAUAUGUUAAUUUCAAAUUGUAUAAUCAUUACUGUGAAAUCACUCAUUGACAGAGAUGAAGUUGCAGCCAUUAAUGGUUCUGUCAUAGCCUUUAAUGGUUUGGUGCUAAUUGUCAACUGCUAACCUAGCUAGCCUAUGAAAGUAGCCAUUACUGAACAUGCACUUAAUGAAAACCAGAGAGUGGUUAGUAGUACAUUUUCUGCAAGGUAUGGAUGUACUAUCAUUAAGAAGUGAAUUGCAGCGGCAGAUGGGUAGUUGCGUGCCAUUAAGAAGUGAACUAUAGGGGUAUAUAGUCUGUCCAUGUUUUGAAUGCUAAUGUGUGUUCCUUCUUUUACAUGCUUUGCAAGAGCAACAAAAAAUAUGAGGAGGAGAGCAAAUGCAGAAGGUGGUAGUCAGAGUACUCGAGAUUAUAGACUGUGGACCAAACUCGAGGAAAGGACACUGGUAGAGUGUAUGCUGGAGCUGACCGAGAAGGGACUCGUCGAGAAAGGAAACUUUCGAACAAGUGGGCUAAAGGAGCUGGAGAAGAUGAUGUAUGCGAAGUUGGUUGACUGUGAACUGAAGGCUCUUCCCCACAUAAAGUCCAAGAUUCGUUAUUUCAAGGAAAAGUUUAUGGCAUUUCUCCAACUCAAACAAGCAAGUGGUGUUGGUUGGGAUGAUAUUCGUGGCUGCAUCGUGGCUGAUGAUGAUAUGUUUAAUGAGUGGUUGCUGGUAUGUGGUAAUGUAUAAUAAAUAGUUUUCAUAAUUAGUUGUCUUGUUGUUUGUAAUGUUUUGUUUGAUUUGAUGUAGCAUCAUCCAAAAGCCAGUGGUUUAAACAACAAGCCUUUACCAUUCUUUGAGGAGUUAUGCAUCAUAUUUGGAAUGGACCAGGCCCUUGGAGUUAAUGUUGUGCAACCUUUAGAUGCAGCCAGCAAGUUGGAUUUGUAUGGCCCUGGUGACUUGAUGGGAGAACAAAAUGACACUUUCGAUUCAUAUACUAUUCCUGAGAACAUGGAGCAUACUGCAGUUAUGGAAGAGAUUAUCAAUCAAGGGAUAGACGUGCAUGCGACCAGUCUGAAAGCGGUAGAGGGUGAAAUCACCUCCAAACGUGUGCAGAUAAACGGUAAGGAAAAAGCCUCAUCUUCGGGAACAAAGAGAUCCAGGCAGCAAUUUUCUGAGGAGGACAAAGCUCAACUUGCUACCAAUCUUGCAAUGACAUCGGAGCACAUAGCAAAGAUUGCAACUAACUAUUGCAUUGAAGGUGAGUUAGCUGUCAAGAGGCAGUUCCUGUAUCAAGAGCUGGUUAAGUUCUCUGAACUUUCUGUCUGUGAUCGAACCAGAGCUUUGAGACACUUGCACCGAGACGAUGGUGAUGCUAGCAGCUUCUUUCAGUUGCCAACCGAUGAGGAGAAAUUAGCCUUCCUGUAUGCUAUUUUGGAGUAGGUCAGUAGUGACAUGAAUCAACAACCAGUAUGUUGUCGUACUGUUGUUUCUAUAUUUUGUAUCAAGACAUGAUGCCAUUAAGAAGUAAGGCUUAACCUGUAUGGUGCCAGUAUGAGUAUUUUGUAAGGCAUCUGAUGUAUGUAGUAACUCAGUUCAGUAGUUGUUAAAGGAUGAAGUACUAUUUUAAAAACAUUAUAAAUGGAUUAGAAAUGGAUUACAGAAGGAGGGUUUAUGAUAUAGGUGUUGCCACAAUAAGGGCAAAAUUGUCAUUACAUGCAAAUUUAUAAUUUAUAUUUUCUUUAUUAUCUGUACAAUCUCCACAAAAUAUUUGUCAUCCAAACAAUGGUUUUCCACAUUUCCAUAAAAGUUAAAAUACAUAUCUUCCAUCAUUCCCCCAAUUCCACAUUUCCUAAAUUUUAUUCCCCCAUAACAAACGACCCCGAAAUACUUUUCACAUGAAGAAUUUGAGUUUUUGUAUAUCAAGCAUGAAAAUCCUUAUAAAAAAACAAUGUUCAUAUAACACAAUAUUAUUUAGCCAUCUUCAUACUGAUCCUGCAAUUGAGAACUCCAUUUGUAUCCAUUUAUAUACUCAAUUCUUCUGAUUGUCUCUACUCUUGUGUCUUCUCUGCUUUUGUCGAGGCGGCAACCAAAAUCCUACUUUUGAUCGUCUUGUAUAAUGGCCAGAUGUCGUAAUUAUGAACAGCAUAAUGGCCGCUGUAGAAUAGAUUCUCUGCUUCAUUUGGCCGUUUCAAUAUAAUGUUAAUGCCGCCGGUGCCCGGUGAUGAUACCAUUGGAUCUGAUCUGUGCGUUCUCACUGCUAGUUCAGUUAUUUUUCUUACUUCUACCUACCACUCCAUCAAUGGCUAAGAUGAGCAACACAACACCAAUGGGCAACAAACCGGUAGCUAUCGAUUGAUGACAGAGAGAAUUACUACACUUUCAAUUGAAGAAAAAAGGGGAGAAUUUAUACUGGAGCUGGAAACCCUAAUUCACUUCCGAAACUCAAUCCAAUCCCUAACCGAGCACUAUAUUAUCCGAUUCCACAAAUUCCCAACAACAAUAAAAGAACAUUCGAAAUCCUCCAAAUCUAAUCGUAGAGCCAAACCCUCGUCUCUUCAGGCACGGACGGAGCCAGCACCGCUAGGGGGAUCGGUGGAGAUCGGAGAGGAUGACAGGGAGGAAGAGAAGGAAGAAUUCGAGAUCGAAUUGGAGAACAUCAGAGGGCGAUCCUGGGCCUCGUCUUCGUCGUCAGCGUCGUCGGAGACGGGGAGGUUAAUACAGGAACAUCGUUCCAAAGAUGUGAAGAAAGCGGAUGCCAUACUCGUCCCUACCCAUUUCAGCUUCUCGUACGACCAGCACGCUCCUGCGCCUUCCAUUGAUUGCUUCCGAGAUAUUUCUGACUGCAGGAGUUAAGGGCGGAGAAACUCCGGUCGGUGGUGGAAAGAUCGGAGAUGCGGAAAAGGGAGAAAAGGGAGGGGAGAAUUAGUAGACAGUGUAAAGUGGGAUAUAAUUUGUCACUCAAUGCGCAGAUUAUAAUUUGUGACUCUGUAUCCCGGAGGAGAAAAUCCAAUUUCUUAUAAAUAAAAAUAAAAAUAACUGCGUUUUAAACAAAUAAGUAAAUGCACACUCUUAUCUUUUCAUGAUGUAUUGUAGUCACUGAUUUAGGGCUCGUUUGGUAUUCAAUAAUUUACCAUUCGAUGCAUUUUUAUAUUUUGUAGUUUGAACAGUUAGCUAUUCGUUGAUAUUGGAUAUUGCAUAGUUACGGUAUUCAAUAUUUACUUAAAAACAGUGAUAAUAAAAAGUUAGUUUCCUAACAUUUUUAUUUUGGAUUCUCAAUUUGGAUUCAUGGUUGGAGUUCAGAUCAUGUUGUGAACUUUUCUACAUGUGUUGGAAGCUUCUCCUUGACAUAAUGGAAUCUUCAAAAUAGUGGUAGGGAUUUACAUAUACAGUUGUCUUUAGCUAUGCCUAAAGUAUUGUUGAAUAAUUAGCCUUAUAAGAGGAUGUUGAUUAAUGCUUAUUUGCAUGAUUAGUGUAAGCUUCUAGAGAGAGUUAUGAUUUACGGUUGACAGCAGAACAUAUAGCCUACUAAAGAUUAGAAUAAGUUGUGCCGGUAGUCCAUCAUGACUGGUACGGUUUUAGGAUGAUAACAUAUUGAAAUAGGGUUUAUCAUGUGGAUACCCUUAUUACUUGGUCCCUCUUGGACAUCUUUAUAAAUGUAUUUUGUGAACCUCCUUAUUAGAUAGGGGUUGUUGGCAUUAAGAUUGAUCGAAGAAAUGACUAAGAGGUUAUCCUCAAACAACUAGCUACCCUACUUUUGACACUGGUUUUGGCCAGUCAUAUAUUAUGAGUUGUACUGGUUGAAUAUUGGUAUUAUAUAUCUUAUAAUUUGAUUAAUUUUUGCAUUGCGUUAGAGAUAUUUAGUGCUUAAAACUGACCCCUUGUUCAUAUUUUUUAUAUCCAAAUGCGGGAACAUCCGAGAAGAAUGCUGUCAAAUAAGACUGCAAAGGCUAGUGUGGCCAGGAGUGAAAAGGAGAGGUCGAAUCGUGUUAGGUACUCGACUGGACAAAGACUGGUUUUGAAGACUCAUUUCUUGUUUUUAAGACUUUGUUGUUCUUUACUAAGGUUUUUGUUGAGACCUUUGAGUUAUUGUUGAAUACUGGAUUUGGAUGAGUUUAUUUUAAUUUUUUAUUUUAGUCGAUUGUUAGAUUCAAUUUUUUUUCAUGAUGAGUUUUGUGAUGUUUUAGCAUUUAUUGUCGUUAGAGAAUCAUAUCAUACCUAUUAGAUUUGAGAUGUUAAAAGAAGUAAAUCGGAAAGCACAAAAGUAAAAAAUGGGCAAUAAAAAAUAAUGACACAUAUUGUAUUAAUAAAACGGAUUGUGUUAGUUUUUUUAAUUAGUGAUAUAUUAAUCCCUUUUAUCGAAAUACAAAUGUUGCAAAAUAGAAAAACAAAUUACAUAUAUCAAUUAUAAAUCAUAAUUGUUAUGAAUAUUUUAUGUUAAUGCAGUUUAAUGCACAUGAUGUAAUUAUCAUUGUGUAACUCCUUUAAAAAAUUAGGAAGUUAAUAAGUUUAUGCAGCUAAUGAAUUUCCUGACCCCUCCUGGCUCCUAGUCCUAGAACAACACAAAAACUACAUUAGUUCGGUUGUUUCUUCACCUAUCUUUUUCCUUUAUAGGUUUCACCAUUGGAUGGAUGUUUGCUGAUCAAAAGUCCAAUUAAUUUACUUGUCUCCAUGAUCAGUUCGAAAGCAACGACGCUCCUCUUUCCCUGGAUAUUCACAACAUACCCAGAAAACAAAGGUCAAGAAUCAAAAGUACGAAUACCAGACAAAAAAACACAUUGAUAUUAGCAACACUGGGGGAAGUCCUCGUCCCCUCCAAAUUCCUGCCUGGUUGUUCCCUCACUAAAAUAUCCGAUCCCCACCGUUGCCCUUGCCGCAAUUCCUUCGCCGUUUCUCUCUCCACACUCACCAGCCGGAGGCUGCUGCUGCUGCCGCCGUCACUACCGCUACAACCGCCUCGCCGCCGCCCCCAACUCAUCACCAGAAAUUUCCCAUCACAUACUUCCUUCGCCCCCACUACACGCAGAUGAUCCUGCCGUGCCAGCAUCACCGGCGGAGAGGCUACAGCUACCAGCAUCGACCUCAUCAGCUCCCCUGUACCGUUGUCAAUUCCGAAGAUAAAAACGUCUCCCGUAUCAAACAAACAAAAGAAACUCCCCUCCCUAUACCCGAUCCCCUCGCAAACUCGGCGACGAUAUUGACCCCCCUCCUCCUUGCCUCCCCUGUAACUGUAGUUGUCCCACCGCAGCCGGCCGCACGUGAACGCGCUGAAACUGGCGUGACCACGCACGAGGAAGAUUGUCCAUUCCGGAUCUGUCGGUGGGGCCGAGAAGGCGGCUUUGAGAGGCGGUUGCGAAACGGAAUGAGGAAGAAGAGGAAGGCGGACGAAACUUGUAGGCCAACGGAAAGUAGGAUUGAAAACGCACCAAAUUCCACCACUGUCUGUUGAUGACAGAAGCCACCAGGCGCUCCCUGGCCAGGUGUAUUUCACAUAGGAGCGGCUCAAUUCCUUGCGAGUCUCGCUGGGGAUUUCCGCGUCGUCCAGGACGUCAAGCAACGACAUCAAUGAAUGCUUCAGGGGAGGGGGGCUAGAUACAGGGGAAAUAUGAUGGCGCCAGUUUUUGCAAACGGAACUGAACUCCAUGCGGCCGGCUGCGGGAGGAGGAGGGAGCCUGUAGUAGAUGGAGUUCAAGAGAUCUGGACAGAGAUCACUCCACGGACGCAUCGGCAUCAUGAAGCUAGCUAGCUUGGUUUCAGAAAAAAGAUGGUUCGCAGGGUUGAGCUCGGAUGGCUUCACUUUAAUCAACAGACUUUUUUCUGGUGGUAUGCUAUAUUAUGACUAAUUGACAAAAAAUGGAAAGGUAGAUCAAGAUCUGAUUAAUUUCAUUUGUUUUCUGUUCAUCCAAAUUAGAUGAUGGUUUGUGAUGAUUAAUUAUACAGAGAGGUUUUGGGCGGCAGGUUGCUCGCAAUUGUUUUUAGUUUAUGCCUCUUUCAGUUUUGGUUGUUUUCCUUUCUUUUAUAAAUAGUGACCGACCCCUCAAUCAUAUGACCCUAAAUGACUUUUAACGAUGGUUAAUUAAAAUUUUAUCGUCACAUCAUCAAUUUUAAUAAUUAAUUUAUUUAAUANNNNNNNNNNNNNNNNNNNNNNNNNNNNNNNNNNNNNNNNNNNNNNNNNNNNNNNNNNNNNNNNNNNNNNNNNNNNNNNNNNNNNNNNNNNNNNNNNNNNNNNNNNNNNNNNNNNNNNNNNNNNNNNNNNNNNNNNNNNNNNNNNNNNNNNNNNNNNNNNNNNNNNNNNNNNNNNNNNNNNNNNNNNNNNNNNNNNNNNNNNNNNNNNNNNNNNNNAAAAUUGUUAAAAUUUUGAAAUAAAAAUGCUCUAAGAAUUUCAAGUAGAAUUGAGUUCCCCAAUUUACUCAAAUAAGAAUUUUGUUAUCCUUUGAUUUAAUAUUUAUUUGACAAUUAUUGUUAACUAAUUAUUUUUGUCGGAUUAGAUCGAGACUCCUGGUCAAUACAAAAUAAAAAACAUAAAAUAAACAUUACAUGUUUUGUAGGGUGCGAUGAAUUCAAAAGCAAAACUUCUAAAUCACCAGACACAUAACUCUAAUACCAAAAUAAGCUACUUUUAACCACAACUCAACUUUUUUCUACUAAUUUAACUCAAUUUUUAUUUAAAAUUCCGUUUACCAAUCAUAAAUCACAUUAAUUUCUCAAAUAAAUUCUUAGAAUUUUAUAUCACUCUCAAGUACAUAUCAUCUAAGACAACAAAUCUGUAGCUUUCUAUCCACUUUUUUCUUCUUCCAUUUGCAAAUUUCAACAUCUACUAUGUAAAUGUCGUCGCAUGUCGUCCCUGUCGUCCUGUCUCCAUAUGUUCCUCAUCAGGACUAUUGGAGAAGAUACUUAUUAUUAUUGUUUGUAACAUAUCCAUGAUUGGCUCUACUGCAUGCUUUCAUCUCCCUAAUCAUGACAUUUAAAUCUGUAUAUAAUAUUGUACAACACUAAUGAUAAUUUGGACCUUGAAAUUUACUUAUACAUCUAAUUAACUCUAUGUCUUUAUCUCGUAUAUUUGAAUAUCGAUACCUUCAAAUAGAAAAUACCACUCUAAAUUAGUCAAGUAGUCACAUGAACGGCCACGUGUACAUACAUGUCUGGAGACCCAAUUUCAAUGGUGAAAGUGGGUUUUCUCAUAGAUUUUUCAAAACUCAUGAAAGUCUCAAAAACUGCUCUGCCGCAGUUAUUUUUACGCAUGGCUCUUUCCUUCUUGAUGAAGAUCUUCGCUUUCCGUCUCAGGCGAGGACAACCAUUGCACACUCUAGCGGUGAUGGCGUUCUGCAACAGUGAUAGAGCGGUGACACCACGACGACGGAUCCACGAAAACUUACGCGACUGGGAUACCAAUUUGUUCAACCGCCGUAGGAUAUGGCAUCAGCUUCUUCUGGCUUUAUUCCUUCUUCCCAUUUCUAUUUAUUCCUUUAUGGUAAUCCAUUCCUUACCUCUCUCAUUGUUUUGCAUGUUCAACUUCAAAGAAAAGUGAAGGGGAUGGCAGAGGCAUGCGGGGAGUUGCUCCUUCAAGCGGCUUCAUGCAAGAUGCUGCAUGUCAUGAAGUAUUCGUUGGAUUUGUCGAGACUCGAAGUGUUCAGUGAGCAAUCGCAAUUUCCAACCAUUCGAGGGAUCGUCUCGUUAGAACAUUUCAGAUUUCAUUUGCAACACUUGAGCAAGAGUAGGAACAGAGGCAUCAACCUGCAUAAUAGUUAAUGAUUUGGCUUCCGUUGGCAAAUUUAAUCACAAUCGUUCAUCCCCGGUACAUAUGAUUCUUCUCCGCUCCUUCCUCUUCAUAUUCUCUCUUUUGUUCCCCGCUACCUUUUGCUUCUAUUGGUUUAUGAUCAAAGUAUUCGCUUUUUCUGACUUUUCAAGUUUUUUAUUUGUCGUUUUUCGACCAUUUUGUUCGAUUUUCAUAUGCGUUUGUGGAUCUUGCAUCCUUUCCUUUUAUAAUAUUAUAAGUGUGAUGAUUGUGAUUAGAUUGGUAAUGAAGAAAUUGAGUUGGUCGUUUCGCACAUUUAGGAUUGUAUAAUCUCUUUGUCAUUUGGUGAUUAUGCAUGUUGUCCUUCUUUAUUGGGGUUCGCUUUUAGACGGUUUGUCGUUUAGAUAAUGGAGUCGCUUAUUGAAUGGCACGUUUGAUUCUUAAAUAUUUUGUAAAAGUGUUAUCGAUAAUAUUCACUCAUUUGAGUAGAUUUAAAAUUGUAUGGAUUUGCUAUCUCUUGUUCUCCGCAAAGCGUUAUCUAAAGAAAAGAAAAAGUGGGUUUUCUCAUUUCUGUAUGAGUUCAUCCAAUCCAAUGGCGGAAUUGGGGUCGGGCGAACCCAGAGCGCCGAAUUCCUAUGUAAAAUUUAUGUAUUUAUGAGUUUCGCCCAUCGUGUUUCGAGAUUUUUCCCGGUAUAUAUUUAAAUUAUUUGCCCACUGUUGAACCAUUAUUUAAACUCACUCAUUAGAUGAAACUACUUUAACUUGAGCCAAAACUCUUUAAUAGAUAACAACGUAUCAAAUUUAAACUUAUAAUCAAAUCUCUUAGUUAGUAAAAGUCAUAAGUUUAAUUCAAACUAAUCAAAUUUAGCUGAAAUUUUUGUUGCCGGUGGCACAUUCAAAUUUGGUUCAACUAAAAAGUAUAAUAAAUGUCUUUCUCAUAUAUUAUUGUAGAUGUGUAUUAGGUCAAAGUAAUGGAUUCGCCAAUUAAUUACUCAAUAUACAAAUAUUCAAUCAAAAAAUUAAUUUAGCGCAUAUUUCUAUUGUGAUUACACCCUUAAUUUUACUAUUAUUAAUAAAAAAUAUUAUCAUAAUUGACUUUUAAAUUUAAAAUUCGCCUAUAAUCUCCAAUCAUCCGGAAAUUAAAAUUUAAUCCACAGUCAAGUCCCAAAUAGAAAUGUAAAACCAUUGGUAAAGAGUCUGCCACGUAGGAUACGGGCUGCAGCGGGGAACCUACAUAGUGGCGGAUCGUCAAAAGCAUAUACGAAAUCCGAGUGGAUAACAAAACAACUGAUGACUGGACAACGAACCAUAGUCCAUCACUCGUCCCUGACAGAUAAUCACACCCCCAAGAAUCCAGACAAACCUUUCUCUACCCAAAUUCCCAAAAAUGGCGACUCUUUCUUUUUCUCUUCCACUCUCCAGAACCACCCCGGGCUCCUCGUCGUCAAAGCGACAUCCAUUUCAGCAGCAUCACUACCCUCGCACCAAAAUUACUUGUUCUUUCUCUGGUAACCACCCUAAUCCAUAUUUGGAAUGUGGGAUUUUGCUUCUGUGAAAACCAAAUUCAAAGAUUUUUCUCUGCAGACAACGGAGCUGGAUCGGAAUUGGGCGGACUCCCAAGGAUUAUUGGUUGGAAAGAAUUGAACUGUGUGGCCUGCGGAGUUCUUGCUGCUCUCGCUGUCACUGCUUCUCCAGUAAUUGCUGGAGCUCAGGUUGCUCUCCAAUUCCCCACUUACAAAAAACAAAUUGUCCAUUUCUUUAUCUUUCUCCCUCAUUCAUCAGUUUGAACCCUAUGUUUGUAUAUUGCAUAGAAACUUUUGAUCUGGGUCGAAAAUAUUGUCUUCGAAAUCCAAAAAGCUCUUGUUGAAUUUGUGGAAAGGGCACAGCUGCUACAUUUCUUGCUUGUAGGAUUGUCAAGUUGGCUGCUUCACCUUCCCAAUGAAGGGCAGAGAAACAGAUGUUAAUGUUUCCUUAGAUUUUAAUGAGAAUUGUUGUUCUGUGCCUUGUGAGUUAUUUUUCACAUUCUUUAUGACCUUUCCAGUAAUGCAUCACGACAAUGUGCAACUCACUCUUUAUGCUGCAGAGGCUGCCGCCACUGUCGACAGAGCCCGACAGGUGCGAGAAGGCAUACGUUGGAAACACGAUCGGUCAAGCCAACGGCGUAUAUGACAAGCCAAUCGAUCUUCGAUUCUGCGAUUUCAGAAAUGACAAAUCGAAUCUGAAGGGGAAGUCACUUGCUGCUGCACUAAUGUCGGAUGCUAAGUUUGAUGGUGCUGACAUGACAGAAGUCGUCAUGUCCAAGGCUUACGCGGUUGGAGCUAGCUUCGUAGGUAAGAAAAACAUUCUCCACCUAAAUCUUGAAACAGUUCCAGUUAGCAUUUUGUCUAAAGACAGAUCCGGCUUUCUCCAAUAUGAAUGAUUGACACAUUAGCCCGAAUGAUGUGAUUCCAAUAUACAUAUUUCGACACAUUAGCCUGAAUGAUGCAUACAACAUUUGACUGAUGUCUCCAUUUCAUUUAAGAAUGUUUUUUUUGGGAAAUUGUAUCAGAUGCCCUGUAACUAGUUAUAAUUGUCGAGGUUCUGCCACCUUUCAUAACUAGCUAUAAGCACAUAUAACUAGUUAUAGACUGUAACUAGUUACAUGUAGGUAUCCGUUACAAAUUAUAGUUGUUUGUAACUAGUUACACGCCUUAAUACCUUGUUAUAAUCUCCGACGAGGGUUCGACCACCUUCUAUUACUAGUUAUAAUUGUUUGUAGCUAGUUACAGUUACACGACUUAAUAGCUUGUUAUAAUCUUUUACGAGGGUCUAACCACCUACCAUUACUAGUUAUAAUUGUCAGUAACUAGUUAUAAUCACCUGUGAGACUCCGUUAAGGGUCCUACCACCUUCCAUAACUAGUUAUAAUCGUUUGUAACUAGUAUCAGAUUCUAUGUGGAGUGUGUGCGCGUGUGUGCUCUUGCCAAGUGAUUAUCUUGAUGGACUUGCAUGAAAAGGAAGAGGUUUGACAUUAUGUGGUGUGGUGCUUGUAAUUGUGCAGGUGUGGACUUCUCAAACGCAGUUUUGGACCGUGUAAACUUUGGGAAGGCCAACCUUAAAGGAGCUGUGUUCAGGAACACUGUGCUGUCAGGGUCGACAUUUGAGGAAGCUGAAAUGGGAGAUGUGGUGUUUGAGGACACCAUCAUAGGCUACAUCGACUUGCAGAAACUGUGUAGAAACACGAGUAUCAGUGAUGAUGGAAGGGCGGAACUGGGAUGUAGAUGAUGAUGGAGGCUACAUCGACUUGCAGAAACUGUGUAUAGAGACACUGCUUUAUAGUCAUGUAAUGUUGAGCGACUGACAUCAUUUCUUUUCCCGAGGCACAAGCAGUAUACUAAAUAAAUAUUAUAUGAAAUGAAAGAUUGAUUCAUUUGCAGCAGAUCAGAUCAGCACAUAGCUCUUUCUCAUCUUUUCCUCCCAACUUCAAAUGUUUGAAACAUUGUGGAAUAGAUAUGACCUGCGGUUGACAAUUGAAUAGGUUGGUUUCAUUGACCAUGAAAGGCGCAUCUGGUGGAAUGGUAUCAUAGUACCCUCCAACUGUUAAACUAUAAAAGUUUGACAUUGAUACAACUGUUAAAAGAAGAUAAUGGUGGCAUGAGAGCUCAAGACUCCACUCAAAUUCAAUUUUACUGGCAGGUCAGAGUUUCAGUAAAAUCGUUAACUCGUGCAUACUUGAUUUAUUUUGCCAUUACAGAGCCGAUUUGAGAGUACGUACCUGCAUAUUUUUAGUAUGUAAACGGUGGUUGGUAGGAUUGCCAUUCCAUCUAAACCAUACAGUUCCUCUUAUUCACCAAAAAAAAUACAAAUAAAAAAGGAAAAUAAGGAGAUGAACAGUGACUAGUUUGGAAGAUCCUCCGCCACACCAUCCAAUCAAACCAUGCUUCUUCUAUCCCUUACCUACCAUGCACUUUGUAGUAGGUUUCCAUCAGAGCAGCCCAUGAUUCAUAUGGUUCAAUUCAUUAUAUAUUUUUGUAUAAAAUUUAAAAUAUAUUCGAUUGUAUAAAAAUUAUGUAAUAGUUUAGCUCAAACUAUAGAACAAAAGUUUGGUAAUACUGGAGCUCUAAAUUCAGAAAUGAGAUGAACUAUGGAAUGGAAGAAAUUCCCAUUAGUUCAGCCACUGCACAAGAUUACUGACCGGCUGAUGCACAACCAAUGGACCACGUCUACUCUCCUGAUCAACACUUUUGUUUGUGUACUACUUGUCCAUUACUAGACUUGUCAAGUCUUGACGUUAUCCAUUUUUCAACCGUUGCAAUCGUCAUAUACUAAUAAUCCAAUAUGUUAUAUUAGACACGAUCAGUCGAUAUCCGAUCCAACCAGUCCGACAGAACCUUAGCAGUAGGGUAUUGUAAACCAUGCUGGGUAGUUAUCAAUUUUAAAGGGAUGUAAUUUCUUUUACUCAAGGAGGAGAUGUGGAUGGAGGUUCACCACAUUCGAUUGUUGAAUUACCAUCGUAUCCUUCCUCUACCUACCAACUUCCAAGUGUAUAUAAAGAGUAUAAUAGGUUAGGAAGAAACAAAGUAGCUAAACAAAUAUGAAGAGGAAGAAAGUUGUUAGUAGAUGAAUCACCUCUUGUGGUAAACGUUUCUUGCUCAAAUGAGUGUUCCAAAACCAGCAAGCGAUGGAGCAGUUCUGGGUUCAAAUACUCCAUCUGUUGUUUGCAUCUGAGAUGCUCAUUUGGGCAAGCAGUGUUUCACAAAGAGGUGUCUGUUGAUUUCAUGUGUGGGUUCGUUUGUGGAUCUAAGGUAUCUUAUUCUAGCCCUUCAUGAUAUAUUCAUUCGCUUCUCUCAAAAGAAUUGGAAUUUCGACGCAAUUGAAUUCCUUGUGUUUCCUGUUAUGUGGUUGGUUAUGGGAUUGAAAUUGAAAAUUAUAAUAGUGAAAGAUGAUAGUGAAAGAUUACUUUACCUAACCCAUAAAUUUAUGCCAAAUAUGGGGCGGAUACCCCUUAUUCAUUGUCUGUGAAUAAUGUCUACGGGUUUUAUCCGUUAUCGAUCCAUUAAGCUUGAUGGGUAAAAAAUUAUUACCAAGUCCAUAUUGGUACGGUUUUUCGGGUAAACCCAUGGUUGUCGGGUAUAUCCAAUGUGAAGUAAAAACUGUGAAAUUUCAUUACUCGGAAUUCAGAAACUGAAAUGUAAAUAGUACCCAACACAUAUGCAUCCAGAGCUAAAAACAUUUACCCAGAUUUCAGAACUCUGGGAAAUGAACUCGGAAAGAAAAGCAUAUACUGAAGUCUGAAACCCUAAAAAUUGUUUAUAUAUCAUAGACAAAACGACGUCGUUUUGUUAUCGGAUCGGUGAUGGGUCGGAUACCAUGACCGCCGGUCGCCCGGAUUUGGCGGGUCACGAGUGUGCCCGAAACCGACAAAAACCCACGGUUGAUGGGCACAAAUCGGCUCAAUUCGGACGGGUUCCAACGAAUAUCCGAAACCCACGGGCCUGCUGCCAAGCCUAAUCUUAUGUUUAAUCGUUUGAGAUUUCCCGUAAUUGUUUCCCAUAAAAAUUUCCAAAUUUUGUUCUAUGUCCCAAUUCCUAAAUCUAUACAAAGUCCUAACCAGAAAACUGUAGUGCAUAAGGGUUUACAAGAAGUGACAAGAUGAAGAAGAAGAAGAAGAAGAAGCAAAUGAAAAAGAUGGAAUUUAUUUCAGAGUUCAUCGUGAUAAUCAUCAUCAUUCUCAUAAACACUAUCAUAAAUUGUUGUGUAGAAUACAGAUUCAUGAUUUUGCAUCUCCUCCAAUAUCAAAUAUCCAUCUCCAUCAUCAUCAGCCUGCACCCACAUUGAGCCGGAUAUUAUAAUCAAUAGACUAAUUAAUCCUUAAAACUCUUUUAACUCGAGUAGACCCAUAUUCUCAUAUAGCUCACGAUCGGGUCAUGAAUCAAAAUCAUAAUCAAUGCGGCUCAAUUUAAACUGAGACGAAUCACGAGCUACCUAGACUAGAUCGAACCUACUCACAAACCAUAAUUGACCAAAGCUGGCUCACACUACAAGAAAACUGAAAGAAUAAUCACAAAUUUUUAGUCACGGAAGUCUGAACCGUGACUAUUUAGUUACGGAUUUUGACGGAUCCGUCACUAAUUAGUUACGGAACUUUGCUUUUGUGACAAAUUGAUCAUGAAUCCAUCCAAUCCGUGACUAGUUUUUUCAUGUAAACAUAUUCCUACGACAAAUUUUGCCACAGUUACAGGCAACCGCGACGAAAUUAGUCACAAAACUCGUCUGUGUGACAAAACUGGUCACGAAUUGGACCGAACCGUUACCAGUUUGUCACAAAAACAAAA